CCAGGCCAAAAUUGGCCUAUUACAAUGUCGUCUACAAUUCUAAUUGGGGAGAUGGUUAGUCCUGGUUAUCGGAGCAGUUGACUCCAUGAGUAGAAACAUAGAUGUAUUCAUUGGUAGAAUGAUACAUUGGACUAGACUCAAGAUGAAUUAAUUCUGAACAUGUUUGUGAAUUAAUUCACUUGUGACAUUCAUGGUGUGAUUUACCAAAAUCUUAAGUUAGUCACUGACCAUGCGUAUGUAACUCAUGUGCUUUGAUAUAAGUGGAGGCUUAUAUUCUAAAGAUACAUGACUUGUAUAUGGCAUGACUUUGCUAGCAACAAUAGAAUUCAUAGUUCAAUCAAAGAGUUAAUGAUAUCCUCUCAUUGGCAUUGUGUGAAUUGAUAAAUAUAGAACGUGGCCACAGGUUGCUUAUUCUUGAACGAGCAAUUUAUCACAGUCAUUUGUUGACAGUGGUCAUAUUAAUCAUUAAGAAGACACAAUGGUGACAAUGAGAUAAAAUAGGAUUGUAUUAAGUAACGGAUUUAACUCAAAAGAAUCAAGGAUAUCAUAUAAGGGUAACACACACAUGACGAGGUCAUUGGACAAAACAUUUGGAUGAAUUAUUUUCGUAAAGAGUAUACAAUAAUGAGUUUUCAAUCAUAGCACUUCUUGUGGACUGACUCCACAAUUAAGUAGUUGCAAAUUAUCAAAACGAUGUUUCUGGACAUAAUUGCAAUUACUAGAGCCUAAUUGUAUAUGUCUGAUUGGUACAUCCGUUAGCUCAACAAAAACUCAAUCGAACUACAUUUGAAUCAAAAGAAAUUCUACGAUUUUUGGAAAUAAUUUAAUUGAGUUGAUUUAUUUAAUGUGGAAUUAAAUUAGGUGGUCAUAAAAAUUGUUCAACUAGAAAAUUUAUUUAAAGAAUUUUCUUGAAAAAUUAAUUUGGAAAAUCUAAGUAAUUUUUGGGAAAAUUAAUUUUGAUCAAAUAAAAUUAAAUUAAUUAAAAUUAAUAAGAUAAUUUUGGAAAUUAAUUUUCAAGUCAGACAAUUGGCCCAAUAGGUAAUUGAACUUGAAAUUUGGACCUAAGAUCAUAAAUUGGGACCGGGAGCCUGUAAUCGAGACUAAGAACCAAAAAUUGGUCAAACUGGGCUCGGUAUAUGAAAAUGGGCCAAUAGUCUAAUCAGUGGCUAGACCGAACCGGUCGAGUUGUCACUGACUCAAACAGAACUGACAGUAACCAAACCAUCUCGGGGUGCCGUAAAGGUGUCGCACUUGCAUUACCGAGACACGGCGGUGCCUGCAGCUGCGUUGGUGACGUUCUAGUGGCCGGCGGUGGUUAGUCUUCGAUGGUUGAGUAAUGGAAGAGUUACACUUCUACUAGGAUUCUACAAAAGAAUUUAAUUUCAAAUUAAUUAUUCUAAAAUUAAUAUUAUUUUAAUAGUUUAAUAUUUAAUUUAAUUUAAUACUUAUCUUAAUAGUAUUUUAUUAAUUUAAUAUUAAAGUGAUUAUCUUAAUAUUAAAUUUAAUUUAAUGUUUAUCUAGUAAAUAAACUUUCUAUUAUUUUAAUAAGAUUCAAUAUUUAAUUUAAUUUAAUAUUUAUCUUAUAAAUAUUAUAUUAAUUUAAUAUUAAAGUGAUUAAGUUUACUCGUAGUUAAACUAUCUAAACUCUCCCUAUAUAAAAAAAACAUUGGAUCAUUAUUUUACACAUACUUGAAUUCAAAAGAAAGUUGUAGAGAUAAAAUUCUCUAAAGAGAUUGUUUCAGAAAAUUUCUAGAGAUAUUCUUUUGAUUUACAACUUGACCCAAAAGUUUAGAGAAAUUAUGAAAUUACCCCACUGGUAAUUUUUGUGAAAAAUUUUUAAUUCAAAGCGAGCCCAUACUCAGAAAAUGUGAGCUUGAGGAUAAUGGAAAAAACUACUUAGUCGAAGCGCUUAUCCUAAACAAAUUGAAAAUGUACAAUUUUGAUUAAGUGUUUAUUACUUUAGAUAUCACAACCAAGAUCUUGCUUUAGAAAAAAAAUUAUAACUCUGGUUUUUCCCUAAAUUUAUUUUCUGCAACGUUUUCCAAACUCGUUUUUUUCCAACGUACAUUAGGUACAAAUUGAUUGUGUAGUAAGUGUUAACAUAAUUAAAAUUUGAUCCAAUUAUUUUAAACGUGAUUUAUGUCAUGUCCAAAUUAUAAUUCAAUGCUCAAACUAACGACAAGGCUAACAAAACAAUUAGUUGGUAUAAUAGGAUAUUUUGAGGAUUCAAUUAAAAUAUAUUAAAGUUGGAGACCCAACUUAAAAUCUAUAUUACAAUUUGACUAAGUACAAUGAAAUUAGCCAUUUCUUUGUUGCUAAUGAGACCGAUUCCUAAAAGUAUUACCGUCACAUUUGUACUUAGGGCUAAAAAGAAAACAAGAAAUCAAAAAUCAACUCGAACUGUGGUAUUUGAACAACUUUUGAAAUAUAAGUUUGUUGAUACGAGUUGAUAACAAGGCGGAAAGGAUGGUAGAGGGGAGUAUUGAUUCACCUGUGUUAAAUGGAGAAUCGAUAUCAAAAAUAAGAAAUAGGAGAAGGAAAAGAGAAUGAUGCUCUAGGGUUGCUAAGGAAAAGAGUCGAUCCUUGGUUCCUUGUGCACUUAAGGUUAUAUACGGGGUUACCCCUUGUCUUGUAAUGUCACGUGACAGUACUUUGUCCUACAUGGUUGUACAAGUCUGCUAGGUGCUAGGGUCGUUGCAAAUCAGUUGUCACCAUAAAGUGUACUGUGUGGUUUUGCUUUAACAUUCUCGUCCUUGGGGUUGUACAAGGAAAUUAUGUCUUAGUGGUCCUAGCGAAGGAUGUGUAGCGAGCUAUAUCUAAGCUAACUUAGACAGGAUUCACAAAUAGUUACCUGAGGGUGUGAAAGUUGCUUACGGACCUUUCCUAAUUGAGGAUUAUAUGCGGGCCACUCCUAAUAGAGGGUCAUUUACAGACUUUCCAAUAACUUGCCACAUGUCAUAUUGUGGUGGCGGUAUAACACCAGUAGGUCUGGCAAGAUGGUUACGUCAACAAGUCUGGUUAGAUGGUAUACGCCAGUAGGUCUGGCGAGUUAGUAUUCGAAAGUUGAUUUGGCGAGCUAAUGUUCGCCAGUGGAUUUUACAAACUGAGAUCACUAGUGGGUCAGGCAAACUGUGAUAAUUAUUUUAGGUCGAAAGUCAAAAGUAAGAGUUGUAAUAGCCCGAUUUUUAGAAAUGUUGAAAACAGUGGUACGAGACCACCAAAUUUAAAAAAUAAGCUCAUAAAUUUUAUUAUUUAAUAAUUACGAGUCAAAUAUGAUUUUUAAGAGAUUUUUGAAUUAGUAAUUUGUGUUUUAUAAAAAUUUAUUAAGUCAAGAAAUUGAGGAAAAGAGGUAUCAAGACCUCGAUGUUAUAAAUCGAGCCGUAAAUAUUAAAAAUAUUUACGGAGUGUCAAUAUAGUAGUGUUAAAGUUUCGUCAGAAAAUUUUAACGUUUCGGCAGUCAAUUAAUUAAAAAGGACUAAAUUGAAAAGAUGCAAAACUUGCUAAAGUGAUUAAAUAGCUUAACAAUUAAAUAAGAAAGGAAUAAAAGAGUAAAAGGACCAACUUAAGUGGCAGAGACGGCAUACCGUUAAAAAAUCAAAGAUUUUUAUGUAUUUAAGGACAAAAUUGGAAUUACAAUAAAGUUUAUGUGGCCAAAAUUUAUUUUAAGGAUUUCAAGACCAUUUCCUCUUGAAAUUUCGGUGUAAAAUAGCCAUGGAAGAGGGUUUAGAGCUGGUAUUCCAUAUUUUAGCUUCAAGUAAGUGUAAUUCUUACUUUUUCCUUGAAAUUUUUAUAUUUUUAGACUUUUACAAUUAGGUCCAACUUUAGUAUUCUACUAGUUUCUCAUUUUGUUGAAAGUUUAGGAAGAUACCAUUGAUAAUUUCAUAUGAUUUUUGUUAUUUGAUGAUGAAAUUUAUAUGUUAAUGGGUGUUUAAAGGUGUUUUAUUCAAGAAUUUUGGAUGAAAACAUGUUUUAGGGAUUAAGUUGAAAAGUAUUGAAAUUGUGGAAAAUUUCUGAAAUUUCAUGGAAUCCAUGGGCUGUUAUUGAUAUGUAUGAGAAUUAUUAGGCUUGGAUCAAGGAUUGAAUUGCAAUAAUUUUAUUUUUCGAGCCUAGGGAUGAAAUUGUCAUGUGUUAAAAGUUUAGGGUCAAAAUGGUAAUCAAUGUAUUGCACUAAAACAGUUUUGGGCAGCAGCAGUGUGCCAACUUUGAAAAAUUACCAAAAAUUGUGGGAAUCGAAUUAGAAGAUAAGUAAAAUAUGAAAUUAAAGCUUAUUGAGUCUAGUUUCUCAUAGAAGAAACGGUGUAAGCAAUGAAAUUGUAAAUAAUGAGAUAUAAUAAAUUUUGUGAGACAGAGUCAGAAUAAUUUCAGAAUCCCCUGUUCUGAAUUUAGAAAAUCAUUAAAAAUUGUAAAAAAUUAAUUAUGGGUUAACCUUUAUAUUUUUAGAAUCCUGAACGAGUCUAUUUUCAUGAGAAAUAAACAGGAAUACCAUCCAAAUUCUGCACAGUGAAAUAAUUAAGUUUUAGUAAAGAGAGGUCAGAAUUGUGGAGCAGUGCAACAGGGGAAACUUUAAAGAAUAAACUGUACUUAUUGGCUAAGUAAAAAAUUCUGAAAUUUUUAUGGUAAAAAGAUAUAUGAAUCUAGUUUUAGGAAAAAUUAACGGAUUUUAAUUUGGAGCUCCGUAGCUCCAGAAUAAAAUAAUUUAGUGACUCUAAAUUAGAUGGGCAGCUUUAAAUUUACAUAUAAGUGAGUAAUGAAAUUAUGUAUAAUGUUAUUAAGCGUGUUAUAUACAUUAAGGAUGUGGAAUGGAGAAGAGGAGGAGGAUAAUAAAAUAUAUGAAUGAAUUGUGUAUAAAUGGUUAUAUGCCCGAUUAUAAUCGGUCAAUGGUAAAUUGAAUGGUAAAUAUGUAUUGGUAUUGAAAGAAUUAUUGCGGUAUUAAAAAGCAAUUGAUCAAAUGUUUAAGAAAUUUAGUCAUGGUAUAUAUAAAUGUGUGGUAAUUUUGAUAUAUGGAUGUAUUUUAGUUGUGGAUUAAUCUUGAUGAUAAAGGUUAGGUAUAUUUGGUCUAUUAAGUGACAUAAUUGAGAAGUAUGAUAGGUGGGUCACUCUAUGUGUGAGAUGAUGAUAUAAUUUGACUUGGUUAAGUAAGUUAAAAGGAUGAUUAUACUAUUGAGGUUGCACUGAUUAAUUCGGUUUAUGUGAUGGAAAUGUCAAGUAUGUUUGUCUUUGAUGCGUGAUGAUUAUUUAAUGCCAUGAGAAUUUGUUUAUUGGUGAGGUUUAAAAUGUAUCUAUAUUUUGUUAUAUAACUUGUUUUGUAAUUUAUUUGACAAAUGAUAAAAAUUAACUCGGUUACUAUGUGAGGCGAAUUAUGAUUUGGGUAGCACAUCUAUAUUCUGCAAUAAUAGAUAAAAUAUAUUUAUGCCAUGGGUGAAUGAUUAAACACUUGGGCUAGUAUAAGGUGUAUAUUUAGUAAGGUUAGUUGGUAAUGAAGUAACAUGUUUUGGUUUAACAUCGAAUAGAGAAAAUUUGUACUAUCUUUGUGGCUAAUAUUGAUAGUUGUAUGAGAGAUGAAUGGAUAAUGUAUAUGUGACACUUAGCUUAUGAGAUAUUGAGUAAUUGAUAUAUUACAAUAGUUAAAUAGGAAAAUGUGACGACAUGAGAAUAUGUAAUGAUACGGAUCAAUUCAAGUACUCGUGACGAAUUCAAAAAGUAAGUGGAAAUUUAUAAAUUCAUACGACGAGGAAGUGAAAGAUUGUAAGUAUAUUAGCCCACAUAAACCCUAAUUAGCAAAUCAAGAAUAACAAUUUGAAAGUUUUAGUUUAGAUGAAAUUUUACAACUCGGUUUAAUAUGGUUAAAAGUGUAUGUGUUCUGGUAAUACCUCGUACUUUAUUCCGACAUCGAAUAUGGGUUAGGGGUGUUACAAGAGUAGCUAAAGGGGAAUUAUACCAAAACUAGGAAGCAAACUUACUUUUCUUUGCACAACACCGUUCAUACACGUAACUAUUUCCUACUUUUACUGCAAUUAUGGUAUCUUAAGAACACUAAAACACUAAGUGUCUAUAAAUUAAGCCCUUUCCGUUAGAAAUUUCAUAUUUUGUUAAACAACAAAGCUCUCUCAAAUUUUUCAUCAAUUAUUAUGUUAUCAAGUUCUAAGAAUCCAAAACUUAACUCUUAGAAUCUAAGGUAAAACUUUGUUCCUCUAUUGUGUUUAGAAGAGUUAGCAACAAAGGAAACUAGGUUCGCCAAAAGCCUAGCAUGUGCGAACCUAGGUUCACUUGUGUUUAUGUAUGAGUUUUCAUGUGCUUUGUCUGUUACUGACUUGUGAAUGUGAAAUUGCGAACCUGGCAGAACCGUCUUCAAGUAAAGACAAGGGAAAAGUGAAGCUUGUUUAAAAGUUUUCAGCAAAUUGGUGAGUGUUCAGGGAUCACCACAUGUAUGUGUAAACCAUAAAGUUAAUCAGGAGCUUAGGGUUUUAUCCUAAGUUUCGAGAGCAAAUCUUUUCUAAACUCUGCUUGUGAAAGUGUUAAAUAUGUGUUUUAUGAACAGUGACAUAUGAGCUUUUUAUUGCAAGUUCAACAUGAACAGUACUCUACGAGCUCCUCAUAAUUAGCGAGCUUUAUGUUUUAAGUAAUUGUUUUAACGAAAAACUUAUGACUUGUUGGAUAUAAUAUGUCAUAGGAUUGUGAGUGCUCAUCUUUAUGUUUUGUGUUUUGGGCGAGAGGCCUACGACAGGUUGGAGAGAUAAGGGAGUGUCGAGCCAAGCUCUACUCAAUAGGACAUGUUGGUGUGUUGGAAAGUGCUUAGCUUUAUGCUACACUUAUGAGACAUGUUAAGAUUCACUAAGUCAUUCUGUGGCGUUAUAAAGAGAUAUGCUUAUCCAACAAUAAAGAACAUAUGAACAAGUUUAUAUUUUCUGAAAUAUCAUGUUUUACAUUUUAAAGCUGUCAGAUAGUAAGUAUUGGCGAACUAGGUUUUGCGUGAAUAUGGCAAACCGAGUCGUAAGUUCUAUGACCUUGCUAAGUUGUUGUUUAACUUAUGUUUUGUGCGUGCUUUGUGGUUUUUCUUUCUUGUAAAUUCACUAAGUUCACAAGAACUGGUGUCGAAAAAAGUAGUUUUGGGACUACAAAUCUAAUGAGUGAGUUUGUAUAAUUAGUAAUUAAAUUAUACGAGUUAAUAAUAAUUUUUAUUGAAUUCUGAUUUGAGGAAUUUUAACCAAUUGAAUUAAAAGUUAGCAUGAGUGGUUUGAUUCAAAAGUCAAGUGGUUAUUGAAAACGAAGUAUUAGGACCUUGUUUCCGUAAUUUAAGGCUGUAAAUAUUUUUAUUAAAUAUUUACAAAGUCAUAUUAUAUGUGAAUCGAAGUUUGGUCCGAUAAUUUUGAUGAUUUAUUGCUUAAUUACGGUAAAAUGAUUAAAUUGUAAAAGAGGUAAAAGUCAAUUGUUAUAGAUUUAAUAUAAUAAAAGGACCAAAAUGGUAAUUAAACCAUGGUCAAAAAGUCCAAGUGGUGUUGGCAUGAUUAAAUCCACUAAUCUUGGGGCUAUUUUCUCAUUUAGUCGUAAUUAGUUUAGGAUUAAAUUAAAAUUAAGCUUGUUUAAUAAAUAAUUAGAAAUAAUUGAAAGACCAAUUGUGCAAUUGGACCCUCCUUAAAUGUCAAACAGUAUGAAUGGUGUGGAAUUCUAGUUUGUGGCUAAUUGCUAUUAGAUCCUUAUUAAUUAGUAAUUAAAGAAAAAUGACUAAAUUAUAAAAGUCAUAAAACUUAAUUACUAUUAGUUUAUUUGAGUUAAUUAAUUAUGAAACCAUGAGCGGGGGAUUAAAAUGGUAGUUAACCCGUAAUUAAACAUGGUGAGUGGUGGCAUUUGUCUUUAGUGUAAAAAAAAUAUGUUAAUUUUAUAUUUUAAAGCAUUAGUAAGUUGAGUUAAAAUAAAUGAAAUAAAAGAGAGAAAGAAAUACCAUUUUUAUUUCUUAUGUUCUUCUUCCCCAAGCCGAAGCACCAUAGCUAGGGACUAGAAAGCUUCAGCCAAGCUUAGGCCCUUCAAUAGGUAAGUGAAAACUUGUCUGUUUUUAAUAAUUUUUAUGUUUUUGAGUUCGUAUUAGCUUGAUCUAGUUAACCCGAUGACUAAUUUGUAAAACUGUCAAAUGUUAUGAGUUAUGCCAUUGAUGAGUUUUGUAUUUUCUUGAAGUUUUAUGAAAAAUUAUUGAGUUUGGUUGCUAGAUAGGACUAUUUUGUAAAGUAGUUUUGUUUAUUUUAAUGUUCAAGGACUAAAAUGUGAGAAUAGUAAAAGUACAAGGACUUGAUGCAAAAUAACAGCAAGUAUGGAUGGUAAUGAAGGGGUUAACAGAUCAGCUAAGCUUAGAUUUAAUAGAAAAUGGUUAAAUUGCAUGAUUUGGACCUAGGGACUAAAUUGCAUAAAAAUGAAAUAUUGGGGGUAAUUUUGUAAAAAUUUCAAAAAGGACUUAAUUGCAUAAAAUGAGUUAGUUUUAUUGUUGAAAUUAGUUAAUUGAAUGAAAAUAUUCUUUUAGAUCAAGAACGAGUGGAAAACUGAGGAAAAGAGAAAAUUAUCGAAUAGUCCUUGUACCUUUGUCAUUGCUGCAAUUUAGUCAGGUAAGUUUGUUCGGUUAAUUCUAUAUGUUUUAAUUUAUAUAUUAAAUGAAAUUUAUCUGUUGAUUGUUGAUUAAUGUGUUGAUAUUUGAUAAUCGAGAAUUGAAACAAUGGUUGAUAAAACACUGGUUACUUUCAAUAGCUCCUAAGCCAAUGAACGUAGGAUAGAGUACGAUUGGAAUGCCAAUAGAUUAUUUUGUGCGCAGCAUGGGCUUGAUAUGAGAUGUGAUGAGGAUUUCUGUAUAUUUCCUGUUCACUAAAUAUACCAAAGUUCUGCAUUUGUUACGGACUUUUGUUAUAUUGCAGCGUUUUUUGGCAUGUUACUGGGGGUGGAUGUUAGCCUACGGGUUAGGCACUUAGUGUCGAGGCGUGUUAUCGGUUGGAUUAGCUCAUAUGAGCGUAUGGCGUGUUCUCGGAUGGUUAACCGUGUACUCGUAUCCGUAUAUCAUUCAUCGGUAAUGUUCUUGAGUCAAAUGUCUUGUUAUAGAAUUGUUAAAAGAUUAUUCAUGAAUCUCCUGAUAGCAUUGUGGCUUGACAAUGAAUUAUCUCAUACUUGUUUAUGUAUAAAAUCACUUGUUGUGAUCUGUGGUUGACAAGAAUUUUGUUAAGAACCUUGUAGGCAGGAACUCGGUUUAUUAAUCUUAUUAUUUGAAUUAUGAUGUUUAAUUCAAUAAGCUUUAUCAUUUAAUCAACGAACUUACUAAGCUUUAUAAAAGCUUACUCGUGUUUUGUUAUGUUUUCUUAUAGAUAACAUUUUGUGAAUAAUCGGGCGAUCGGAUCAACUCGAAGAUUCACACUCUCCCGAGAACUCUUUUGGUAGAUUUUGUAAACAACUAGGCUUAUAUGGCAUGUAGUAGGGUUAAUGAAAUUGUUAUAAGUUUAUAGCUAUGUGUUGGUUGGUUGGCAUGUUUUUGAUGAUAUAAACUUUAGAAGUUCCUAUAGUAUGUCAUGCUAACUCUUAAGUUGUGCUCAAUGUUUAAUCAUGAAUGGUAGUAAUUGGUUUGGAUCUAGGCAUGGUGUUUGAGGUCAAGGUAAGCAAAUUCAAUGUGUGUGUAUGGUGGCUUGUAUGUUUGAUUUAAGAGAUGAAGAUUAUAAGUACUAUGUGAUGUGAAUUUGAAAGACAACUUAGUUAAAUUUAGGUGAGCAUAAUUGGCAUGUUUUGGUUGCCCUAGAUGUGUUUUAGGGUGUUACAAUGUUGAACUUUGGCUAUUGUCUUGACUUGUAUCGGUAGCCUUUUCAAGAUCUUUCCAUUUUUGAGUUCUACCGAUAUUUGUCCACCUAAGUAUCGGUAAAAAUCAUUCUUACUUCAAAAACUUGUUAAAACUUAAAUUAAUUCAAGGCUUUUUAAAUGUUUAUUUUGUCCAACACUUUGAAGAAAAAAUUUUGAGUCCUCAUAGGCUCGAUUAAGGCCCAUAAAUGAAUGUAAUACUCCAAUCUGAAUUAUUAUGAAAUUCUGUUAAUUAAAUAUGCAACUUGAUGCUAUUUGUUAUUAAUUGUUCUAAAUUGUACUAUAAUACGUUGUAACCCUAAUUUGACGACGGGUACGGGUUAUGUGUAACACCCUUAACCCAUAUCCGUCACUGGAACAGGUUACAGAGCAUUAGCGAAGUUUACAGAUCAAAUACAGUUAAUUUAUAUCCUUUACUAUUCAUAUCCGAAAACAAUCUUAUUGUCCCUUAAAUAGGCCCUCGAGGCCCAAAAUAUGCAUUUAAAUCAAGUCGGGACUAAAUCGGGAACUCAGAGAAAUAUUUCGCAAAAUUUCAAAACUUUUCCUAGGUGCAGGGGACACAUGCCCAUGUCUCAGGCCAUGUGGGCAUUCGAAAUACGGCACACGGCCGUGUCUCAGCCCAUGUCCAAUUUAGGUUACUUACUACUUGGGUCAUGCGGCCAAGCCAUACGCCCGUGUACUAGGCCGUGUGAACAAUUUAAAUUGCAUUAAUUAGGUACAGGGAUCACAAGGCCAAGACACACGCCCAUGUGCUAGGUCGUGUGUCACACACGGCUGAGACACACACACGCCCGUGUCUCUGCUCGUGUGAACAAUUCUGAGCAUUCUGUUUCUCAAUUUUUAAGAUGCAAGAGACACACGACCAAACCAUACGCCCGUGUGCAUGAUAGUGUGUCACACACGGCUGAGUCACACACCUGUGUCUCUGCCCGUGUGGACAAAAAUAGGUAAUUUCCAAGGCCAUAUUUCUCACCCAACUUGGCAUCAACCUAACCAACCAAUUUUGCACCAUUACAAGUCAUAAUAAGACCUUUAAUUCAGGAAAAUUUCAAACUUAAUACAUGUCAUAACAUCCCAUAUUUCCAAGUAUUCAAUCUUACCUAAUUGGCCAUAUAAAUAUAUAUAAGUAUAUUUUACCAAUUCAUGCAACCCUUAACAUACUUAUGUAACUUCUACCAUUCAACGAUUUCAAACACACACAUCAAACAUGUUUAGGCCAUAUAUUUACAUCUCAAAAUAUACCAAACACAAACCAUACCAAUGGCUAGUUUCAACCAAAUAUUAUUAUGCCAUCAUUUGGCCAAUUUAACCUAUACAUGCCAUUAUACAUAAAAAUAAAUUUGUUAUUUAUACCGAAUCAAGCUGAAAGAUAGUGUGAUGUUACUCUGACCCACGUCCAAAAUUUCUGAGCUUCCGAGUACUAUAAAAUAAAGAAAAUAAGACAGAGUGAACAUUUAAUGCUUAGUAAGUUCAUAUAAUAGGAAAUUAACUUACCAUCCAUUUACAUUUAAUGUAAGCAUACAAAAAAAUGCAUCUAAGCAAAUUUGGCUAAUAGCCUAAACACAAAACUUCAUCAAACAUGUUAGUCAAGUAUUUCAUGUGAAUAUCAAUAAUUAGGGAUGAGCUCAUCAAAUAUCAAAUUUUCAUAUAUUUUUAGGUGUAUACAAGUAACAUUUCAUUCAGAAUUCAUCUUAACUUAUAUCAGAACUUUGUCCGUUGAACCAUUUGAAAUAUCGAUGGAUACACAAGCAGUACACACGAAGUGUACGAAUUUAUAAUCCGUCAAUUCCUAUUUGGGAGUGCUCGUUAAAGCACAUGAUCGGGAAGCCCUCUCUCGAGCCAUAGAACGAGAAGCUCUUGUGAGCCAUAUAUCGGGAAGCUUAUCCAGGCUAUAAUACGGGAAGCUCAUAAGAGUCAUAAUCAAGAAGCUCAUGCGAGCCAAUAACAGGUAGCUCCAAAGAGCCAUUAACGGGAAGCUUCGGAUAGCUAUAUAUCGGGAAGUUCAAGCGAGCCAUAUCAGGAAGCUCUGGAGAGCCAUCAAUCAGGAAGCUCACAAAGAGCCUUUAAUCGAGAAGCUCAUGAAGAGCCAUAUAUCGGGACUGUCAUAAGAGUUGUGGUGUGUUUGCAACACAUGCAGGAUCACAACCAAUCAGGAUGCUCCAAAGAGCUAUUAACGAGAAGCGAUAGGAAUCAUACAACAGGAAGCUCGAGAGGGCCAUAUAUCGAGAUGCUCAUGAAAACUAAUAACGGGACGCUCUUUCGAGCUAUGGUGUGCCCGCAAUAUAUGCAGAACCACAGCCAAUUCAAAAACCAUGUAUCCAUCAAAUCUCAUUUAUCCAAACGGGACUUAUUAUUUAUCGGGUAUUAUCGAAUAUGUGAUCAAUUUCAUACAUAUGACAUUUAUACAAUUCACAUAUACAACAUUCAAUUCAAACAUAUAAAUAUACACAAUUUAGUUACACGAACUUACCUUGACAAGUGUUCGUUGAUUUGUUGUCUACUAAUCCGACACUUCCCUUUUCUUCGAUCUAACUUCGUAUUUGAGUUAUCCGAAUCUGUACAAGUAAAUUUAGCUCAAUUUAAUAUAUUUCAUAUUCAAUUCAAUCCAAUCCACAUCCUACACAAAAUUACCAUUUUGCCCCUAUUCUUUUAAUUAAUGACGAUUUCAUCCCUAAGCUCAGAAAAUGAAAUCCAUGCAAUUUAAUCAUUAUUCCAAGCCUAUCCAAUUUUUGCAUAUAAAAUUUUCAGGCCAUGGAAUUCAUAAAAUUCGGAAUUUUUUCUAUGAAUUUUACAUCCUUACAAUUUAGUCCCUAAAUCAGAAUUUCAUGAAAAUUUCCUUUACAAAAGUUGUUUAUCUAUCAACAACCUUUCCAUUUCUACCAUAAAACUUCAUAAUUCAUGCAUAUUCAUCCAUGGAAAAAUUUUAAUACUUUGAUAACUUUGCAAAUUAAUCCCCAAAAUAGCUAGAUUAGGUUAUUACGAUUUCGAAAAUAUAAAAAUUACUAAAAACGAGACAAGAUUGCUUACCUAAUUAAGCCAAAUGAGCUUGCUUGAAUUUUUUUUCUUAGCUAGGGUUUUCAUGUAUUUUAAUUUGGGGAAGAUGAUGAAAUAAGAUGAUAUUAAUUUAUUAUCAUCUUUAAUUAUUUUAAUUUCCAAUUUAGUCCUUUUCUUUUUCUAAUUUUCCAUGGAUGAAUCAUCAAACUUAUCUACUAAAUCCUUUUAAUGGUCUAUUUGUCAUAUAAAGACCUCAAAUUUUGAAUUUCAUAGUUAUUUGAUCCUUUUAGCUACUAGAAUUCAACUUUUACAUUUUAUGCAAUUUGGUCCUUGAAUCAAUUAAAAAUAAAAUCGGUAAAUUUUUUUCUUAACAAAAUUUAUAUACGAUAUUCCUAUUAUAAUGCAUAUCAUGAAAUAAUAUUAAAAUAAUUUUUCUUACGGACUCAUAUUUGUGGUCUCGAAACCACUAUUCCGAUUUCACUGAAAACGGGUUGUUACAUUAUGGGUGUUACAAACUCACACAAUCUUUUCUAUUCACUACAAAUAGCUAGAUCGCAAGGUGAGCAGCGACGAAGUGAGUGAUCCAGGCGAAGUAAACAUGCUGUAAAGGUAGUACAAGCAAACUCUAUAUUAAAGGCAAUGUGGGAAUUUUGCUUGGGCUUAAAGAUAUAAUUUUGUUGACUUCGCAAAUUGUUUUAGGACUUAGUUAUUUUUAUAAUUUCUUAUAUUUUUGUUUAUGUCUAUAAUUGCGAGACGAUAAUGUUUUAUAAACACAUCUGGAUUUUAAGUAUAUAAAUAUAAACCAAUUUUUAUUGAUGUUAUCUUAAUUUUACAAGUUCACUCUUAAGUAAUUAAUUUAUAACAUAGUGUUCGCCAUAAGAAAGGACAUGAAGUAUUCAAAACUGACAAAACUUUGCAAAGUUCGCCAAAAUUGUUGCAAAGUAAUAAGGUUGUGAACUAUACUAAGUGCGAACCUUAACGAUUGGUGAAUUGCUAUUCGCGAACCUUUAAUGGAUUUUGAUAUGUGCUAUAAGAGAAACCCGGCGAAUUAUGCUCGUAGUAUCCAAACACAUAGGGGUAGUUCGCGAGACUUACCAUGGUUAAAGAAACUUACCCAUGAAAGUUUUAGAUUGUGCAAGCUAUGUAGGGGUGCGAACCCUUAUGUCAAAUAGAUGAAUAGUUGUGUUCUGCGAGGUACAUUGUUUUGCAAAACCUAGGGUUCGCAUGUUCUUUAUUUCUUUCUUUCUUCAAGUAUUUAUGACUUCAAGUAAAGAGUAAGUUAAGUUCUUGCAAGCGAAGUAGGUUCGCAUGUUACUUUCGCUACAUAUUAUGAAGCAAGCAAAGUGAGUUCGCAAGCUUGUUUUUCCUUAAAUCUAUACAUGUUUUAUGUUUUAACUUGUGGUGUGCUGGAGGGUAGGUUGGGUUUAAAUGGAGAGUCACUUGGGUGGUUAAUGUGGCAUUCCAUAGCUCGUGUUCGGCAACCAGACUAAGUAUGGGGUGUUACAAUUUAAUUUGUACUUGGAAAAUUAUUGAUUAUUUUUAAAAAUUGAUUUAAAAUUUUUAUGUAAAAGUUAACAAUUAUUGAUUAUAUAUUCAUUAAAAUAUAUUUUAUAUUUAUUAUAAUUAGGAUUAAAAUGACAAAUCUUGUUACCACUGUAAACUUUCUUUUUAAUUUUUUAGAUUUAAGAUCAAAUUGAUAGAAUUUGUAAACAAGAAAAGGCUAAACUUGUUAUUAGACCAAUAAUACAAAGCUCACGUUAGACUUCCAUUAGGCAACUAACAAAAGGGUGACUAAUAUAUUUAAUUUCAAAAAAUUAAGUGAUUAAAACAAAAAAAAAAGUUAAAUGACUAAAAUAGAACCAACUGAAUAAUUUGAUGACUAUUCUUGAAUUUACCCUAAAUAAUUUAUGUUAAAUGACAUAAUUUUUUCCCUGGGCUUUAUGUUUAUGGGUUUGCCUGGCCUUCGCUUAUUGGUUCGCUGGGCCUAAUUCUCCGCCGAACAACUUUUCUUUCUAUACUCUGGUUAAUUUAAACUUCUUUUUCCUGGACAAUGCAAAAGUUGUUCCGGUUGAGGCAGGGACGAAAUUAAGAAAUUUUUUAUUAAAAAAUUUUGGGAUAAAAAUAUAAAUUAUUAGGAAUCAAAGUCUUUUUUUUCUUCAUUAAUGAUAUUUUGAUGAUAAAAAAUAUAAAAAAUUUUAUAUGAAAUGAUCUAAUUGAAUUGAAUUUUUAAAAAUUACACCCUUGACAACCAAGAUCAUUACUAAUUAGGGGUGUUCAAACGGUUAACCGAAUAGUUAAUCGAACUGAACUAGUAUUAACUGAAUUAAUCAAACUUUUUAACUCUUUAACUGUUAAUCAAACCGAAAUUUUUUCAAAAAAAUUUAACCGAACCGAAAUUUAUGUGGUUUUUUUUUGUUAAACCAAGUAUAAAACAUAUCAAAAAAAUAAAUUAAUAAUUUUCAUUUGACCGAAUUAUUCGAAUUAACCGAAUUAAAACUACAUAUAAUUUGUAUUAUUAAUUAUUAAUUUUGAUUAAUUCAGUUAAAUAUCCAAUUCCGAACCAAAUUAACCGAUAACCGAUCUUCCAAAAAAUUAUUAAUUGACUUCCGACAAAAUUAGAUCGAUUAACUGACUAAUUAACCGAAUUAAAUCUAUUCGGUCAGUUAAUUCAAUUUUAACCGAAAUUUGAACACCCCUACUACUAACUCCUAAUUAAAAAUUGGAUUGUACUUGCAUAUAAAAAAAACCAACAUAGAAAAAUCGGUAUUACCUUUAAAGUUGACAUUACCUCGUCAAGAUCAAUGCAAUUCAAUUCUUGCAUAGAUAAUUUUUUAGCCAACAGGGUUUUGCAUAAAUACAAGUGCAGAGACAAGGGCUGCAAGGGUUUCAACCCCUUUUAAAUUAGAAAUUUUUUUAUUUAAACUCUUUAUAAUUUAUAAAAUUUUAAAUUAAUAAUAAAAUUUCAUUUUGACCCUAAAAAAUAAAAUUACACCCCUAUUACUAAUCCUCUACAUAAAUGAUUAAUGCGUUGUGUGCACACCACUUAAAUUCGAAUCUUGUUGACGACCGUCCUUCGUUGAUAGAAGAUAAAUAGAUAAACCCUUUAAAUUCAUCACUCGAAGGGUCUGAAAAGCCCCAUAAUAAUCCUGUAGCAUGCUCUGAGCUUAGAGAUAAGAUAACACCUCUGAUCCUAAACCAAUUUUAUCAAGAAAUAAAAGAAUGUAGAGACCUGACAUAUUCAGAUGCAGAGCAAAUUGUGCAAUGGCAUUACCCCAACUCCAGACCAUGCAUGCAAAACUACCUAAUAUUUCUUACAACCCUUUAGAUUCACUAAAAUGUUGUUUAACUACUGAUUUAGGGUCCAAGAAUUUAUAUUAAUUUGAAGUUAACUUUUUUUAAUAUUGUUUUAUUCAUAAAAUUUAAAUUCGAGUCAUUGCUUAAGAGACAUUAAAUUCGGAGAUUAUGUAAAAAUUUAUUAUUAAAGGAUUGAGAUAAAAUAAUUCAUUGUUGAGAGGUCAAAGUAAAAAAAUAUUAUAUUAAAAGGGUGUAAAUCGAAUUAAUAACAUUUUAGAAAGACAAAACCGUUUUUAUUGAGGGGGAUUUACUUCUAAUUAAUUUUUUUUACCACCCAAUCUAAUAAAUUAUGAAUCACUUAUUUACAUUUAGAGAUGUUCAUGAGUCGACUUAGGUUUAAACAUGAUAUGGAUACACUUAUAUUUUGCUAAGUUUAGUUCUGCCUAAAAUAUGAGCUUAAAAUUUUUCUCAAGCGCCUAUAUUUACAAAUGGCUAAUUCAAGUAUAUUUUAAUUUCACCCAUAUUAUUUUUAAUUUAAUAUUUGAAAAUUAUAUAUUUCUCAUUUAUUAAAAUUUUAUGGGUAUAUAACUUAACAUUUUUUAAAUGUUUACAAUAUAGUAUUAUAUGUUACUAUAGAUUUCAUUUUUAUUUGUUAUAAAAUAUAUAAAAUAUUAAAAUAACAUAAUAUAAUAUAUUACAAACUUAAAAAACAUACCGGGCCAAGCCAAGCUUAUGCUUUGAAUGCUUGUGCUGAGUCUAGCCCAUAUUUUAAACAGACCUUAUUUUUUAUUUGAACUCUCUUAUUGAACUUAAUAUUUUUUUUGUCCAAAUACUUUCAAAUUUCAAACAAAUACUCGAGUUUGGUCGAAUAACCCAGGGCAUAAAACAUGAACAUGUCUAUUUACAUUGAAACCUCUUUCACCCAACAUUUAACAUUUUCAAACUUUGAACACUUAAAAAAGAUAAACUACACCUAAUAUUACUAAACUAUUAAUAAGCUUACGUUUUGGUCACUCAAUUUCAAAAAGUUAUAAAAUGACAAUUAAACUAUUCAAAAAUUUUUAUUAAAGUCACUGAGUUGUUAAAAUCGUUAUUGUAUGGCCUUCUCUGUUCGCACCUCAUGUACUACUCAAAAGCCCUCCUUCUCCCUCUCUAAUACAGUCAAGAAUAUGCAAACCAAAAUCCAAACAGCUCUAUUUUUUUAUCUAGAACACUGACUGUCAGAUCAACUUAGAUUUAAGUUUUAUUUUUUAACUUGUUGACGGGUACAAAUCCACUAUACCAAUCGUCAAAUCAUAACUUAGAGCUCACUAACUAAAUUUUAAAAUAUAAGCUUAAAAACUUAAUGAUUAAUGCUAUUUUAUAACUUUUUAAAAUGUAAAUUAUUUAAUAGUUUAGUAUAACGUUUGCCUGACCUUCCACGUUUUUAUGUUUUUUCUUUAAUUAAUUGUAAAUUCCAAAGCUUAUAGUUUUAAGUCAUAUCAUCAUUUGGCCCUCCACAUUUACUACUUUUAUCAAUUCAACCCCCACUUCUUUUGCUUCAUUGAAUGCAUCUAAUUCUAGUUUCUCUAUCUUAAUUAAGAAAACACUAAUUAAUGUCCAUGAUUACUUUUAUCGAUGUUUUAACCACUGAUUUAAUUUAUUAUUUUCUUUCAAUGUAUUAAUUAUCAUUUAAUCAAAAUGUUGAGUAAACUUAAAAAACAAGUAUUCAUAUCAAAUUUUGUGAAUAAGUGCUUACUCAUUCUUUCUUAAAAAAUAAUAUCUUUUACUAAAAUUUAUCAUCAAGUGUUAAUUAUGGUAAAUGAUGUAUUAAUUAACUUUAAAAAAAAAAAAAGAAGAGUUUUUUCAAAUUCAUGGUGACUCGUUUCCUUUAAAACGAUGAACUUAAGUUAGACGUUUUUCUCGAUAUGACCUAAUAUUUAUUUACAUAUUCAUACUUGAUACGUAAUUUUUUAAUUUUUAUUCUUUGAUAUUUAAAAAUCCCACCAUCAAUACAUCAUAUAAUAUUUAAAAGCAAAGGAGUGUAAACCCAUGGUGAUUGAUGGGACCAAAAGACAUUGGAGAUAUGAAGAAGCGAAUGCAUGACUUUAAUAAAGACAAGCAGAAAAGUUGUAGUUUCCAUUUUGCCCUUUCAUGGACUUUGCAUACAAUUCUCAAUCUCCAUUCACAUCUGCUUCUUUCAUGUGAUCCAUUAUUAUUUGUAAAUCAAAACUACAUCAAUUCCAUUAAUUCAUAUAAUUAUUAUUUUUUAAAAUAAUAAUUAUUGUUAUCACCGAACCAAGACUCGAAUGGGUUCGAGUCAAAUGGGUCAAUUUCCAUCGAUCUCACAGAUUGAGCCCGUAGGAUGGGUACCAAUGUUACCUAUGUUCUCCUACGAAAUCACACAUGAGAUCGCGCAUGAUGUUAAGUCUAGGGUAAGAUACAUGUUGAUAUGCAUAGAACCUACUACCCAUAUAAUAUAAAUAGACAAACACCACCAUUCAAGAAAGAGAAAGAUAAAUACUCAACAAGCAUAAAUAUUUUAAGUAUUUAUAAUAUUAUUAGGAACGAUGGACAAUAUAAUUUUUGCAUGUUGUUUGAUCUAUCUAUCUCCAUUAAUCUUGUUUUUCUACCUUUCAUAUCUAAGUUAUAACCUCUCCAUUGGACUGAAAUUUUUAUAGUGACUAACAGCUAGCUUAAUGUCCAUGUCAUAUCCUCAAAUGAUUAUAUAAAGUCUGAAAGUUCCACCUUUGUUCAUAUGAUAAAGACAUGUCACCUCUAGAUUUUGAGGAAAAAGGAAUUUACCCUUUCCUUUAUAAGAUAUAUAGAAAAACAAACAUAGUUUUAAAAAUUUUAAUUAGAUUCCCUAAAAUUUUCAAAUUCUUAUUCAUUUCUAAUUUUUUUUAAAAAUUAAUUAAACUCUUAAAGCUUAAUCACAUGUUUCACCUUUAAUAAUCAAAACGGUUUUUCCUUCGACUUAAUAUAUCAUUUGGUAUCUAAGUUUGAUAUUUCUUUUUAAUGUGAUACUUGUGUAAUUUUUUUGUCUAAUUUGAUACAUGUAUUUGACAAAAGUUAUAUAUUUUGAUAGUUAAAGGUAGAGGCCGUGUCCUUGGGUUGGGCUGGGCCCAACUAAAAUUUUAGGCCCGGCCCAAAAAAUGAGCCUAAAAUUUUGUCCAAGCCUAGCCUGAAUAAAAUAUGCUAAAACUUGGGCCCAAUUCAUAUUAAUUUUUUUUAAAUAUAAUACAUCAAAAAUAAUAAAAACAUUAAAAUAAAUAUUUCUCAACAAAUUGAAAAUAAAUUUUUUUAAAAAAAAUAUGUAUACUUAAAUAACACUAAGAUAUGUGCAACUUAACAAGCAAAUACCUCUAAAAUAGUAACAAAAUUAACGAUAAAAUAAGAGUUAUACAAUUUCCAAAUAAUAACAACAAAUUAGUAGCAACAUAAUUGUGAAAUAGUAGCAAAAUAGUGAAAAAAAACAACAAAAUAAAAAAAAAGUAGUUCCAUAUUUGGGCCGGGCUGGGCUCGGGCCACAAAAGCAUUACCUGAGGCCCGACCUGUUUUCUAAACGGGCCUUUUUUUUUGCCCAACCAUUUUUCAGGCCUAUAUUUUUACCCAAACCCUCCCACUUUUCGGGUAGGCUCUCGACCUGGCCCAUGAACAAGUCUAGUUAAAGGUAACAAUGUUAACUUUUUAGUGUUUAAUUGAAGUUUUAGAGUUGAUUUGAUGAAAAUUUAUAGUUAAUAUUAUCAUGUUAGAAUUUUUCAUGAUAUUGUUAAUAGAAUAAAUUUAGUGUUAAUUGUGAAAUUAUUUAUUUCCGUGUUUAAUUUGUUAAAUGCAGCUUGAUUAAUUUGAUUUAAUUCAACCUGAUUAAUUUGAUUUAAUUCAAGUUUUAGGGUUGGUUCAAUGAGAGUUAAUUGCUAAUGUUAUUAACCAAUUAUGAAUUUUCAUCAAAUUAACUCUAAAAUUCGAAUUAAAAACUAAAAAGUUAAUAGUAUUACCUUUAACUAUUAAAAUGUAUAACUUUUAUCAAAUAUAUGUACCAUAUUAAAGAAAAUGGUAAACUACCAAAAUAGUCACUUAUGUUUGAAAUAUUAUGUUUUAGUCACUUACAUUAGCAUGUUGUAACAUUUUAGUCAUUGAGUUGUUAACAAUGGAACGGUAAGCUGACGUGGCACGUUAAAUCAUUAUUUCAAACAAAAAUUAUAGGUUAAAUCAUUAUUUGUCCCCAUAUUUUUUCGUUUUGAGCAAUUUAAUUUUUUUUUCUUUUAUGUUCUUUUAACUUUGUUUUUUCAUUCUCUUCUGCUUUUUCCUCUGUAUUUCUCAUUUCUCCAUCUCUUUUAAUUUAGUUUUUCUAUGUUUUCCAUUUGUUAAAACUAAAGGGGAAGAAGAAAAGGAAAAUAAAUAAAUAAAUAAAAAGAAAAACUUAAAUUGUUCAAAAAAAUAAAAGUAUAGGGACUAAUUUUAACAAAUGAAAAAUAUAGAAAAAUUGCGUUAAAAGAGAUGGAGAAGGGAGGAAAACAAAGGGAGAAGCAGAACAGAAUGGAAAAUAAAGAAAAAAAAUUAAAAUAACAUAAAAGAAAAAAAAUUUAAAUUGCUCAAAACGAAAAAAAAAAAUGGGGACCAAUUGUAUAAAUUAACCUAAAAUUUUUGUUUGAAAUGAUGAUUUAACGUACCACGUCAGCUUACCUUACACUGUUAAUGGCAAUCAACGGCUCAGUGACUAAAAUGUUACAACAUGUUAACAUAAGUGACUAAAACGUAAUAUUUCAAACAUAAGUGACUAAAAUGUAAUAUAAAGUAAAUAAAAGUGACUAUUUUAAUAUUUUACCCUAAAAAAUAUCAAACUUACGUAUUAGUCCUUCCCUUCACCUAUUUUUUGGGUGACCCAAGAACCAUAUUGGUAUUUUAUGAUAGGCAAAUGGCACUAGACACAUUUUUCUUAUAUGGGACCCUAUUCAUGUCCCAGUAUCCUCACCAAAUUCUCAAUAUUUGGUCCUUUUUUUCUUUUCUUAGAGAUUGGCCUUUGUCUCCAGCCUACAACUUGUUUAUUUUUUCAAUUAAUUUUCCAAUAUGAGAAUAAUUUAUGUAUGCAGAUCAAGGUAGUUAAAGUCAACCAUUUCAACUAUUGGUCUCUCCUCUUUAAUAAUUUUAGAUAGAUCUUCAUCAUAUUCUGUAACACAUUUACCCAAUUAAAAAUUAUCUCCUAUAUCCUUGGUCAAUAAUACAAACUGAAACUCUGGAGGAACAUGCAUGCCCAAAAAUUGAAUGUCUGGUCCUGUUUUCUUUAUCAUGUUUUACUCUCUUUUUUCUUUUUAAUUGUUUUUUUAAUGUUCUAAUUGAUAGUGGAAGUGAUAACAAUGUCGCCCAUUUCUUGCUCUUGAGAGGAAUCUUAGUUGGCAGUGUAAUGUGUAUGCCAUUAUUCUAGUGAUAGGAGCUUCGUUGACCGUACAAAACAAAUGUAUAUAGAGAUUUUGAAGGGAUGUAAAUGAAUUUAAACAAUCUUGUAGUUGAAGAACUCUGAGGCUUUUCCUGGUUUGACUUUACAGCUUGGUUGCUAAUUGCAAGCUCAAAUAGUAUAUUCAAAACAUAUGGAUGAAAUUGUGACUAGACAGUUUGAAUUUAACGCAUUAAAAAAAUUAGCCCUCCACAUUGUCUUUUUCUUUUAAAUGUCAAAUUUAAAUUAUAUAUGCAGUAUGUACACACAUAUUUACGAUUUGAUCUAUAUGUUUUAAAUAUGCGACUUGUCAUAUCCAAACUACCAUUUAAUUCACAAAAAUUGAUAACUAAGUUGAUGGAUGUUGGACAAAACACGUUAGCGAAUACAUAUUUAAUAUAAAUAAACAAAUAUUUAUAUAUAAAUUAAAUUAAAUUAAAUAAUUUAUAUUUAAAUGAUCAAAUACGAAAAAUCAAUAAAUAACAUAACGAAAAUCAAAAAUUGAAAAGAAGAAUCGAGUUUUACUAGAUGUUGAGACAUGUUUUACACAGUUUCCUUAAGACAGAUUCGGCCGCUCCUACGAUACUUAGAGAAACGUUGGUCAACUGUCUCCCAAGAUAUAACAAUACAAUGAUCGAAGCAGUAGCACCUCUGCAGUGAUCAACGAACAAACAUUGCAUUUUUCUAUCACCGAAUUUUAGAAAUAUUCAUGAAUAAGGAUAAAAAAUCUACAUCUUUUUAAAUCAAAUUUUGUAUAGGCUUGACAUUUUGUAUCGCCCGCAUCGUGUAGGUGCGCACUUCAACCCUAAUAGGUUUGGACCUGCAUGCACAAGAUAAUGUUUCAAACUUAAUCAUUUAACUAUAUUUAAAGUGGGUUCUCAUAUAUAUACACAUCUCACACUUGAUAUUUAACCAAUGUGGGAUCUAAGCUUUUCUUUUCCUCAACAAAUAUUCACAAGUUGCUUACUUUGAGCAUCAAUUUCUCAUUCAUCACUCAACCAUUUUGAGCAUAUGAUAUAUCGUUGUAAAGGUCUCAUGGAGUAGAAUAUAAAACCAUAAUUUUAUAAUUGAACUCUCCACCUUUACCAAUCAAGAUUAUGCCUCAAAAUUUCCAAAAAAUUACAAUUUUUCCGACAAUGGAAUGACCUAAUUGAUUAUACCAAAAUGUAUAGGGAGAAAAUUUUAUACCACCAAGAUUCAUCAUCUGUCAUUAUUAUUUUUCUUUAAUUAAGUUGAAAUUUGUUAAUAAAGAGAUAAAUCAAUAAAAUUAAAUUCUUUUAUAGAAAUGUAACGUCCCGAUAAUUAGGGGUGUCAAAAAGUGUAUUUUCGGGACUCUGUUUUUGUAAAUUGGACUCGUAAAUAUUUUUAAUAAAUAUUUACGAAGCUAGUUGUGUAGUUAAUUAGGUUUUGGUUAAGUGAAUUUGCAUGAAUUAAGAGUAAUUAAGUAUAAGGACUAAGUUGCAUAUAAGGUGAAAGUUGAAUUAUAGAUUAAAGAAAAAUUAAAGGGACUAAAGAAUCAAUUAUGUCAUUGUUCUUUAAUGAGGCGUCAUAAAGUGUAAAAUUAUUAUUAUAUAUAUUAUUAACAAAUUAAAGUUAAAAUAUAUAUUAUAAUAUGUUUUACUUAAUAUUUAAGUAAAUAUAUAUUAUAGUAAUAAAAGAAAUAAAGAAAGACAAAAGCAAAACGAAACAAAAAGAAAGAAAAAGAGAAAGAAAGAAGAACAUACAGCUUAGGGGUUUUAAAAUUUCAAGUUCAAUUGGUUAGUCAAUUUAGUCCAAUUUUCUUGUAACCUUUAUGUUUUUGGAAUCUCGGUGUUAAGUAUUACCCGAUCCAUGUCGAAAUUUUAACAAUUAUUGAGUUUUUAAGUGUUGUUAAUAUUGAAUAAUUUUAGUAUUAGGGAUUAAAUUGAUAGAUUUUUAAGUUAGAAAUGAAAAAGGAUUAAAUUGUAGAAUGAACUGUAAAUUUUGAGUAAUAGGGACUAAAUUGUGAAAAAAAUAAAAAUUUAGGGAUUUAAGUGAAAAAUAGGGAGUUAAAUUUAGUUUAAAGUGGAAAUUGUAUGAAAAUAUAGAAUUAAUUGUGAAGAAUAAAAAUUAGUCUCGGUUUAGGCACUAAAUUGGAAUUUAGGCAAAUAUUGAAUAAAAAUUGAAAUAUUCAAUAUGAAAUUGAAUUGUGUUGUAUUGAUGAAUUUUAAUUGUUUAAUUCCGUAGCUAACGCCGUACCAGAAUCCUCAACUAAAAAAGGGAAAGAUAAAGUUAACGUGGAAUAGCUUGAAAUUAUUGGUUUGUAUUUUUAUAAUUCGAAACUAGUUAUUAAUUGUUGUAUUUUUUAUUUAAUGCAUAUGGUAAGUGUUGAGGCGAGUAUUUGAUACUUUGAUAUUGAAUUGAAUUAAAAGUUGAUUGAAUGGAUUGAAUUGAUAUAUAUAUAUAUAUUAUGAAUAUAUUGAUUAUUUGAAUUGAAAUGAAUAUAUAUGUGCAAAUAUGAUAAUUGAAUAUUGGUUGUAUUUCGAAAGUGAAAUUAAACCCUAUUAACUGUAUCGGGCUGAGUCGAAUAUAGAUGACAUGUCAUAGGAUUGGAAGAGUUUAGAGAUUUCUUCAACUUCGAGUCGAUGAGGCACUGGGUGCCAAUUUACUUCUGUUUAACCGAUGAGGCACUGGGUGCCAAAUUUAUAUAGCGUUGGGCGCAGUUAUUACUUCGGAUUUAUCCGAUGAGGCACUGGUGCCAAACUGGUGUGUUGGUUGGAUCCGUGUAUCAGUUCGAGUCCGAGUCGUGUUAAUAGGGGUAAUUAAAUAAAAUAGUACUAUAAUUGAUAUUAGAUGAUAUUGUAUGUGAAUGAAAAUGGGACAGUGAAUUGAAACAUGAAAAUGAGACACAUGAAUUACGUAUUCAUGAAUUGGAUAUGGAUUGAAUAAUAUUAUUGUUUAAAUGAUAUAUAUAUUAAAUUGUGAAAAGCUAUUAUAUAGCAAGUGAUGAGAUUUGAGAAUGGUAUGAAAUGAUGUAUUUAUGAAUUGAAUAUUGAAUGGCUAAUGCCAUUGUAUGAAUAAAUGUGGUCUUAAAUAUUCAAAUGUGCUUAUAAUUAAAAUAUACAUAUUAUAUUAUAUUGUCUUUAAAUAUUCGGAUUAUAGAAAUACCACUGAGUUUUACUCAGCGUACGGUUUUGUUUUCCGUGCGCAGGUUAGGUACUUCAAUUUUGAUCGCCGAUUCAGCAUCCAACAACGCUCCGGAACUCAAAUGUGGUGAUGAUUACUCUUUUGCGUCGGCAUGUACCUAGGGUGUCUAAAUAAUACCUAUUUCGGCGACCGAUAUGGGUUAGAGGUGUUACAAGAAAACUCAUGUUUUUUAAGAAUGAUUUUAUCUCUAAUUAAUUAUAUUAAUAUGAGAAAAAUAAUAAAUAAAAAAGAGCUUAAUUUUUGUAGAAUACUCAAAUGAAGAAGUUAAAUUCUUCAAGAACUCUCUUUUACUCGACCGACUCGCACUAUAAAAAGGGGUCACCUCUAAACCAUUCAACACACAUCACCAGUUUAAAAAGUCCAGAAAUUUUCUGCAAAAGUAUCUGAAGAAACUCAAGAACUUGAAGAAAAUUUGAAGAAUGAUGCAUCAGUUCGAUUCAACUAAAGGAAGGAGGUUAGAACCUAUUUCAAGAGCAAGCCAUCACGGCACUUGAAGCAGGUUCAACCAUCCAAGAUCAAGUCUUGACGACCUUUGGAUCCAAACUCUCCCUAAACCCAUUAUUAAGAUCAAGUAUUGACAACCCUUGAAGCGAAUAUUAUUAAUUUAAGAUUAAGUCUCGAUGACCCUUGAAGCAAACCACAUCUUUCAAAGAUCAAGUCUAAACAACCAUUAAAUUGAAACUCCAUCAAAGAGAAUAAUCAAAGGAUUUUUAUCUGUAUUAAAGAAAUUUAAGAUAUUGUAAUCUUUUCAAAGUUAGGAGUAUAAUUUGACUCUAGAUUUUUAAAAUCAAUUUACGACUCCUAAUUUAUGCAUUAAAUUUUUUGACACAUCCAGUAGAACAAUCUCUAAAAGUUAAAGUUGAAAGUUUAAUUAUAUAUCGUGCCUAUAUUUGUGACUUUUUGAUUAUUUUCAAUAUUUUCUUUUAUCUUUCAUGCUUUUUUAGCCCAAUAAUUUAAUUUUUAGCUCUAAAUUUAUUUAUUUAAAAUUUAAUAUUAAAUAUGUAUUGAUACAGUCUUAAUUCAAUUGAUACAAAAGUAUAGUAUAACAUGUAAUUAUUGUAUUUUAAAAAUUUGAAUUCCAUUUUGUGAACUGAAAUAAUAAACUAGCCUAGGUGAGUUGACAAAUGACAUAUAUUUGAGAAUUCAAUGAGAAGUGAGAACCCAGCCUAAAGUCCCACAUCGAACAUUGUAACUUCUAGCAUAAAAAGAGUGAAUCCAUUGAAUUUUCAGCUUUAAUUUGGAAACCAUUUGUUUACAUCGGGUUUUGUUAUUUCUGCAUAAGCGAUUGUAUACUGUAAUAAUGGAACACAAAGGUCAAACCCCAAAAAAAGGAAGUCAAAAACAGCCGCUGAAUACCAUUCUCAUUCAAGUUUUUCAUUUACCCAUUGAAAUCGUAGUAACCAAAAGUACCUUUUAGUUUUUAGGUCAAACUAACCCAACUAGUAGUGGGAUUAGGCAAAAUGUUUAGGUUUAUUAUUAGUAUUCUUUUCAUUUAUCUGACCAUUCCAAAAAUGUUUAAGAGUUCAUUAAUGUUAGAGAAAAUAUUUAGUGUAUUAUAAUUUAUAAAAUUUUAAAUUAGUAAUGGUAAAAUUAUAUUUUAUCAUUUUAAAAAUAAUAAAAUUAUAUUUUUACUAUCAUAAAAAUAUACAAUUUAAUUCCGACUACUUCAAAAAUAUUUUCUAACACCAAUAUUAUCAAUGUCCAAACAAUUUAGAUGAAGGUUUGGUUUUCCUAAGUAAAAAUGUAGGACUGUCUUCUUCUGUCCCUUUCAAAAGGGUAUUAAUUAUCAACCCUAAUAAGAAAGGUGGUUGGUUCUUUGGCUUAUUCUGAGCAAUUUUCUUUUUCAACCCAAAAAUCAGUCAAAAUUUUCCACUAUGUAAGGAAUGGAAGAUGAUCUGUGAAGUAAAAGUCGUCGCCUAAACUCCAAAGCACCGUAGUUAAAUUACAUUAUUCAACUUGAAGGAUUUUUAGUACUCUUUUUUUUUACUUAAAUACGAGGUGGAUCUUUUCCUAAUAAUUUGACCCACGUUAGAUUUACAAAUUCACAUUUAAUGUUUAAGUUGACAAUCAGACUCAUGGAGAGAUAUAAUUGAUAGGGUUGAAGCUACAAAUUUUAUAGUCGGAGGGGAAAAUUAAAUUGUAAAAUUUUGGGGGCUUAAACAAAAUUUUCACCAUUUUAUUAACUAUAAAAUUACAAAUGUUAAGGACCUAAAAGAUAAUUUCACCAAAUUAAAGGGAUUGAACCCGUUACCUACCCCUUGUUGAUUCAUACAAUGGUGACACUUCAAGGUCAUAACCGGAUCGUUUUAAAAUUUUACAAACCAAUUUAGAAUAUGCAGAAUAGUGGGAGAAUGCCUAGUGAAUUAACCUUUAUUUUAACAAUUAUUUUUUACCCCUAAAACACUACUUCAAUUCCUAGAUUGAUCCCUAAAUUUUUUUUGGUCAAAUUUAGACGCUAAACCAUCAAUUUAUCAAAAAACGAUAUCAUGACGAUUAAUACUUUAUUAUGAGAUGCUGUAUGAUACAUUUGAAAACACUUUAAGGACCAAUAUAGGAAUUGAAGAAUGGUUUAGGGGCUAAUUUACAAUAAAACCAUAUUUUUACUGACAGAGUGAGAUAGUGAAGCAAUAUAAGAAGCGAGGGGGACAGUGCGAAAGCCGCGUUUAAUAGUGUAAUUAAAGCAUACAUUUUUGGUUUUUCAUCACCUUUUUUAACAAUUUUCACUUUAGUACCAUGUGAGUGUGACCUCAUCUUUUUCCCACUUUUCAAUUAAAGUCCCUCAUUACCCUUUCACGUAAAUCUACACCCAUAUAUAAACACUCUUAUUUUAUUUUUUCCCUUUUAUCUCUUCUUUAUUUUUUCUUAGUUCAAUACUUUUAGAUCCAAUCCAAAGCCUUUAAAGAAAAAAAUCAUUGGAUCUUUUUUUUUUAUCUUUCAAAGGCAUAGAGAGAGCUCUCUGUUUUCACCAACUAUGGCUCCACUAUUGUACUUCAAUUUCCGUAAGGUAUUUUUGUUUUACCUUGCUUUCUUUAUGUUGAUUUCGUUGCUGGUUUGUACCUCCGUUGUUGAUAGCCACGAGCUUCGAACCACUCGGUUUGGUGGCGGUGGAAGAAGAUUGUUGGAGCUCGAAGAAGAAGAUGAACAGUUGGUGUUGAAGAAGAAAAGCUCCAAUUUUUCCAACAAGAAGAACCAAACCAAGCUUGUUAAACCAUCAAAUGUAUCCACCAAGAACCAAACCAAGCUGGUUAAAUCAGUGAAUGUAUCGACCAAGAACCAAACCAAGCUUGUUAAAUCACUGGAUGUAUCAACCAAAACGUCGAAUUUGUCGGCCAAGAACCAAACCAAGGUUUUGAAACCGACCAACUCGACCAAAACUGCAAAGCCAACGGUGUCGAGUCCCAUUCCCAAGAAGCUUAAUUCAACUUCCAAGGUGAAGAAACUGAAUUCCACAACACCAAAAGCUUCGGAUCUGCUCAAAUUAAGCUCUCCCAAGAACAAACCAACCACGAAAACACCGGGUCAAUCUUCAAAACCUGAAAAGAAACCGACAACAACCCAGAUUCAGAAACAACAAAAGAAGCAACCCAGUUGGGUAGACGACGAUGAUGAAUCGGAUUUGGUGUCGGAGUUCCGGGAUCUACCGGCUAAGUUCCAGCAAACACUUAUACCGGACUUGGAGAAAAUCUCGACAACCUCGAAAGUUUACAUCAACAAAUACAACAAAGAGUUCACCAAACAGUUCAAACCAUAUGUCGGCAACAAACAUGCUCCCACCAUUGCUACUGUAAUCUCUUGUGCUUUCCUUUUAAUCCCGUUACUAUUAGUUUCCCUCAUUUUUAACCGCAUCAAAGCUUAUUUUUCACUCCAAAAGAUUCUCAUCUUCAUCCAAGUUUACCUCUCGAUUUACUUUUCAAUCCUUUGUCUUACCUCCCUCGUCACUGGACUUGAGCCGCUUAAGUUCUUUUACGCCACUUCGCCGUCGACCUACGUGGGUUUACAAGUGCUUCAAACGCUUGGGUACGUGCUUUACUUGUUGCUGCUGUUGAUGUAUUUGAUACUGGUUUUCUCGACGGAGUCGGGUCUCGGAUCCAAGAUGUUGGGUUUGGGUCAGAUAUUCGUGGGGUUUGCCGUCGGGUUGCAUUACUACGUGGCGGUGUUUCAUAGAGUGGUUUUGCAUCAACCGCCUAAGACUAAUUGGAAGGUCCAUGGGAUGUACGCCACGUUUUUCCUUGUGGUUUGUUUGUUUGCUGGUGUUGAUAGGAGAAAGAAGGCUUACUUGGAAGAAGGCGGUGAAGAGGGGAAGAAAAAUUAAUUAAAGAUUUUUUGGGGGAGUACAUUAUUAUUAUUAUUAUUAUUAUUAAAUUAGUCGGUCCAAAAACUUGUCAUAAUCUCAGCCACUUACAAUUUGUAGCAAUAAUGAACAAAUUUUGCUGUCAUAAAGUUGUGCUGAGAAAUUUCCGAAGGUAUCUUCACCUUUGUUGUCAUUUUUUCCCCUUUAUUUUUAUUUAUGGUUUUAUAUUUAAAUUCACAAUUGUAAUUUGCCCACUGUAAUGUUUUCUUAAUUACCUUUGAAAAUAGACAAGGCUUUUUGCAAUUUAUUUUCCUAUUUCAAGUUUUUUUUUUGGAAUAGUAAUUGUAUAAAUCUUAGCACAAUAAUGUUAAAAUGAUCUUAUGGGAAAAUAAUAAUCUCAAAAAAUAAUUUUGAGAUUUUAAUUUCGAGUUAUAUUGUAAUUAAAUAUUAUGUGACUAGCUUCUUUGACAAAUUCUUUUAUUAUUUUUAUUUCGUUUUGCGAAUAGUAUUUCUUUAUGUUAAGUUUCUUACACUAAUUUCAAAAUUCAAUCGAAUCAGCAGAUUAGAUCGAGAAUUAACUGAAAUAUCAAUUAAAUCGAAAAUAGAUAUUGAUUUAAAAUAAAGAGUCAGAGCAAUUGCAUCUAACCAUCAAAAUAAUUAAAUCGAUUUUUUGAAAAUAUUUUUUUAAUAAUUUAUUCAAUUACAUUAAUCUAAUUAAAAAUCGAUAAUCUGAAAAAUUCUGGGUCUUGAAAAUUUUAGAUUUUGAUUAUAAGUUGUAGAGAAUAAAUGGCACAAAUCUCAAGUUUUAGAUUACAGUCACUUAAAUGACACUGAAACUAAGGAAUCUAUUUUCCUGGGAUAGACUUGCCUUUGAACAAAAAGGAAAUACUGUACCAGAUUCUCACGCGCAACAUGGAGUGUGCUUUAUUAUUUUUUGGUGAAUGUAUUUGAGAGGUAUUUCUAUUAUAGGGGUAUGAUCAAAUUCAUUCCUCUAUUAUUAAAUGAAUCAAUUUAGUCCCUGUACUAUUGAAAAGAAUUAAAUAGUUAAUAUUUACUAUAUAAAAAUAUCAUUUACUAGUUAACGGGGUUAAUAUAGUUAAAGUUUUUCUGAUUUUGUAAAUGAAAUAUUUUGUUUGAGAUUUGAACUAUAAUUGAAAAAAAUAUUUUUCAAAAUGUUUUUUAUAUUAUAAAUAUUAAGUCCAUUACAAUUUGGAUUUAUUUGAUUUUCUUUUAACAAUAUAAAUGCUUAAUUGAACUAUUUAAUAAUAGAGGGACUAAUUUGAUAUAGUCCUUAUAAUACAAGGACUUCCAUGAAAUUUAACCAUUAUGGUUUUCUUCUUUGAAUAAAGGCGUUUGUGACAUUGAGAAUGUUGAGAUCUCAUGUUGGAAUUGAAUCCUAUACUAAUAUAUAGGUUUCGUCAUAGUUAAUUAAUUAUCAUUAUUUAAUUUAGUAUUUUAAUUAAACCUAUUUAUUUAAAAAAAAUAUGUUUUAAUUUUAAUAUUUAAUUUUGGUUAAAUGUUUAAAUUAGGCUUAGGUUUUUAGGGAUUGCUCACAUAAACACCAAACCUUUCAAAUGAUCAUAUAAUGGCUUAACCUUUACAAAAUGCUGAAAUUUCACACACUUCAACUUAGUUUGUAGUAAAUAUUAGAUGAAUAUUGACGUCUUUAGAAUAAAAUGCAUAAUAAUUUAAUCAAAUAUUACUUGAAAAAAGAAGAAGAAAAUAAUAAAAAUGUAAUUUGAAACCUGAUAUGUGAUAUUUGAAAUGCCCUUAUUUGGGCACUUUUAAAAAGGUUCGGCCCUUAUUUGACCAUUUUGAAAAGUUUGAUCUCCAUGUAAGCACUUUUGCAAAGGUUAGGUCAUUGUAUGAUUAUUUUAAAAGGUUUGGCCAUUAUAUAAGCAACCCUUAAAAAAAUUAGCCCCAAUUUGAGAAUCAAGCCUUAAUUUUUUGUAAGAAAUACAUCUAUCAUUGCAACCAAUCAAACCUUCAAAACAUGUAACUUUAUAUCAAGACUAUAGCUUUAAAAAGAAAACAAUGACCUUACCAUCUUUGCUCAAAAUGUGCACCAAGGAUGAUGGAGGUGCUAACACCAAAUUUUGAAUUCACAUUCUCCUUUUUGAUCGAUUUGCAAUCCAAUCAGUCGCCCUAUUUGUUUUUCUGCUAAUCCAAAUAAGCACAAUGUCAUCAAACUUAUAGGCUUGGGGUCUAAUAUCCUUAACUAUUGGUCAUAUCUUCCAAUUGCCUUCUCAAUUAUUCAUAUUAAAGUCAAAUACCAAUAACCUUAAAUCAAUUUUGAAGAAGUGUUCAAUUUGCUGGAUGUCCUAAUUCGAUGUUUGAUAAGUGCUAAAAGUAAUAUGUUUUAACCUCAUUUUCAAUGCAUUUUUGGGUGAUAAUUCGAUGUUAAUUGUAAAUUUUAUGCUCCUAAUCCUUUAAAUUCAUGUUUUUAUGCUUAAUCGAGCAUUUGAGAGCAAAAGGAGCAAAAAAUGAGUGAAAAUCGAAAAAUCGGAGUAACUUACAAGACCCACACAGGCUGACCCAUUCCACAUGUCCUAAAUACACGGCCGUGUGGCCAAAAGGCCUGCCACACGAUCAUGUGGUAGGUCGUGUCGAUUUCACGAAUUUGCACCCUAAAUUGUGGGAAAUUGUGUUUUUUUAUGUUUUUUUGGGCAUUCUAAGAUGUAUAUAUGACAAAAAUAAGAAGAUAAGAGUGAGUUGUCAUAGAAUAUUCAAGAAAACAACUCGAAAAACAUCAUUGAAGCCAAAUUUGAAGUAGAUUUCCAUCACAUGAUUUCUGAGGAGAUUAUCAUGAGUUCCUUUGUUUCUUUAUGUUAUAUUAUGUUUUGGAUGUUUUUAUUUUCAAGCAUGAACUAAUUUUCUAAAUACCUAAGGGAGAUGAACCCUAUGAUGAAUUCUGUCUUUUGAUUUUUAUUUUACGCAAUAAAUAUUUAAAUAUUGUUCUUAAUUAUAUGUGAUUAAUUCUUAGUUUGAUAUUUCUAGAUUAUUGAUCCAUGUUUGAUGUGCUUAAAUCAGAGGAGGAAUAAACCCUGUUUAAGAGUAUAUCUUGCAUAAUUGAGUGGAGUUACAUGCAAUCUUAAAAAUAGGACGACAUGAAUCUACUGGAUUAGAGUCAAAUAUAAUAGGAGAAUCCAUAGCAUGAGUUAAUGUGAUAAUAAGGGUUUUAAUUAGAAAGAAAUUUCAAUUAAUUAACCUAGAGUUAGUCGCUCUUACUCUAUAAGAGAUAUUAGUAUAAUUUAGGGAUUUCUACAGAUCAAGAUAUUGAGUAAAGAAUUGUAUAAUUUAGAUUGAUAGUGAUAGAUGAAAUCUAGGUGAAUUCUUUCUUAUGUAUUGUUUUGCUUUUUGGUUAUUAUUCAAUUAUUUUCCUGAUUUGUUCUUUUUCGUGUUCGUUAGCAAUUAAUUUAGUUAAUUUUAAUUUUCAAUCAAUCACUUAAAUUUAUCGGUUAAAUAAUAGAAAGACGGUAAUUACUAGUACUUUUAGUCUUUGUGGGAACGAUAUCUACGCUCACCGUAGCUAUACUAUUAAUUGAUAGGUGCACUUACCUUAGUCAAAUUUUUAGUUAGGUCACGACACAUCAAUGUUCCAACACUGUUUGAAAUAAGGCAAUUUAAGAACAAUACUUAAGGAGAGUUAAGUAAAGAGUAAAUGGCCUAUGAGAUUUGUUAACGCGGUUCGAAUUCACCAAUCCUACUCUAUAGAGUCUUGUUCAAUGAAUGAUUUUAUUCAACAAUGGAUCCGGAACCUUAUUGGUUAAAACCUAAUCUACCCAUACACAUUGGAUAAUCGUAACCCUAACAAAGUACCUCCAAUGUUAUAAUAGCUCACCCCUAAUAACUUCACUUACAACAAUGUUUACUCUCCAAAAUACCCAACAAAAGAUUAAUAAAACACUCAACAAAAGCACUUAAUAUGCACAUAACAUAUGCAUCAAUGCAACCUAUUUAUAGCCUGAUAUUGGCAACUUCUUCAAAUAACCUAAGAUAAAUCACCAUUUUAAAUAAAGGAAUUAUCCACAUAAAAUCUUCCUUUUGAAUUUCGAAAUAAAUGCUUCCUCUCCAAGUAAAUAUGAUUAGCUUUAUCACCAAGGAAAAUAAAUUGAUUUAAUUCUGAAUGGAUAUGAAUAAGAUUUGCAUUCAAUCAACCUCUCUUCUCUCUUAUUCCAUUUGAAAUUAAAUCCACUAACCUAGAGAAAAUUAAUUUAAACUUCAAUCCAAGAACCAUUUGUUAAUAGAGAACUAACCGAGGUGAAUAAAGUAAAAAAUGCCAACACACUUACUGGACUUUACCUGUCCCAACAUGUCGUCCUAAGUGUUGUCCCAAGUGCUAUUUGAACAAAAAUAAAACUUAUUAUCCUAAAUGCUGCCCAAAGAGACGUUCCAACAAUGAAUGUAAUAGGAAUGUAUUGGACAAUUAAAUUUCAAAUAUAAUUCUACCAUAACCUUUUUUGUUUAGCAAAUUUCACACACUCUCUUACUAUUAAAUCUUAAAUUACUUAAUGUAUUGGCUUCACAGAAAGAUGACACGUAAUAAUUUGACUAUUUUUUUUUGUUAAAUUUAAAGCAAGACACAUGUUACACACACAAUUAUCAUCUAACAUAACAUGGUCAAAAUAAAAUCUACAUUCUUCAAAUAAUCUAAAAGUGACAUUUUUUUGAAUAAUUAUUUAUUUUACUAUAUUUUUAUAGAGAAAACCCAUACAGUUUAUAAAAAAAAAUUCUCAUUUUCAACUCUCACCAGAUAAAUGUACCAUAAAGGUCCUUAUAUUAAGUGUUGUAUUAAAUUUAGUUUUUUUAUUCAAAAAAUUAACAAAUUAGUCUUUAUAUGUUAGAUGAAAGAGUAAAUUGAUCAUUUUGUUAAAAAGUUCAUCCAUUACUAUUAUUAAAAAUUAGUUCAUAUAUGUCAACAUGAGAUACACAUAUUAUUUAUUUAUUCCAACAAUUACACUAAUUUUUAACAAUAUAAAUGAAUGAAAUUUUUAAUAAAAAUAAUUUACUUUUUAACUAAAUAGUAAAAAGGGUUAUAUUUGAGUCUCCGUAAAGAAACUAGCAUGAUAUUUUUAUCUAUGAACCAGUUUGUAAUGGACAGUGUUUCAUACCUAGACUAGAUGUGUGAAGAUCCUGAGUGAGCAAAACCCAAGUUUAUUUCUGUAAUUGUAUGUGGGACCGACGGGAUUUUAUUGAUGUGUGUCGGUGACUGCAUGGAUUUUUGUACAACCGACAGUAAAGUGCUUACGUGUCUUGUAUUAACCCGUAAUUAUAUUACGUUGUGUUAGAUACAAGUAAUUAUCGAAUGAAGCCGGUUACAGUAAGCUAAACUAUGGACCCCACCUGAUUUCAUUUUCAAUCAUAGAUAAGACAAUUGGAUGAUGAAAUCUUGACCUUUCAUUGCAUCAUAUCACAAAAUUUCUUAAUAAUGGGUCCCACUAAAUGUCAUUAUUAUGAAGAUCAGGAUGGUUGAUUUAUUUUUAGAAAGAAAAAUGUCCAUUUAUUUUAAUUUUAAUUAUCCAAGAGACAUGGCAAAGUGUUGGUUUCAUGCAUUUUGGUGAAAUGUGCCAAAGCAAAGAUUUUUUUAAAACUGUAGAGACAUUAUAUUUCCUAAUUUAUAUUAAAUUUGGUUUUUUUAAAUUUUAUAUUAAUAAUUUAAAUUCGAAUUUUGAAGACAAUAUUAUUAGAAAAGAUAAUCACGAACUCUCGAAAGGAUUAACCUUUAUGAAUCAUAAAAUAAACAUGUUUUUUUUCUAAAUAACUUUAAAGGUUGAAUUUAAAUAUUGAGUAGAUAAAUUUAUUAUUGAUUAAAUGAAGUUUAUUGAAUUUCAUGUGCUUUAAUUGUGUGCAAGGGUGAAACUAAAAAUUUUAGAGGACUAAAAUUGAAUUUUAAAUUUUUAUAAGGAGUCAAAAAGUAAUCUUUUCAAAUAUUUUUGUAGGGGGACAAAUAUCAAUUUUACCAAUAAUUAGAGUGAGUGUUUGAGGAGUGGGGGAGGCUCCCUACUUGCACCCUAGUGUUGUCACUGCCUAUAUGAUUCAAUAAUAGCAAAAUAAAAAAUAAAAAAAUUAUGGCAUUACUUUAAUGAUUAACUACUAAAAUUAGACCUUUAUUUUCAUUAAUAUAUGCUUAAUUCAAUUUAAUAAGUGAGCUAAAUAAAAUUCACAAUAGUGGAAAUGAUUGUGGCAAGCUAUUAUUAUUAUUAUUUAACCCAAAAAAUAUUCCAUAUUUAAAUUUGGGAUUGGCAUUAAUAAAAAUUUUAAAUAAAUUUCAAUCAAGACUCAAAUAAUCAAACAAAUUUAUAAUCUAAUACUGGAUUAUGGUACAAUUCAUGAUAUGAGUUAAAGAAAAUUCUGUAAUAAAUUUAUGAAAAUUAAACAUGAUUUUAGUUCAAAUGAUAAAGUCGAUAUUGUAAAAAUGAUCUAAUCCCAUGAUUCCGAUGAUGUAUACCUAUUUUUUUAGAUUUAUCAAAAUAUAAAAAUACGUAAAUGUCUUUAAAAUGAUGUUUGUUACUUUAUAAAAAGAAUGAAUUUUUGGUAAUUUCACAACCAAGUUGAGAUCCGAUUGAUGAAUAAAACCAACUCAGUCAAAUAUAUUAUAAUAAUAUAUAAUUAAUGAAUAAUUAUUUACUACAAAAUUUUAAUAUAGUGUAAUAUAAUAAUUAAAGCAAAGAAUUAGUGAAAUUUGGGCUGUGAUUGGGUCUAAAAAGUUUUGUUGAAGCCCGUUUGGAAAGGUUGAAGGAAGCCUAGUUGGGUUGUUCAAGGCUGUCCAAGCUUUGCUCAAAUAUGGAUUUUGCAAUAGUUGUUGUUCUCCUUAUCGUCUGUUUGCAUUGCCCGAUUGAAAGUUGUUAUUCCUCUUAUCGUCUACAAUUCAAUUUUUUCUUUAUGAAAGUCACGAAUUGUAAAUCAAAAUCUAAAUAGUUUUAUUCACUGACCCCCGAUAUUGAUUGUUAAAUUGACUUGGAUUUAAAGCAUAUUAUUCUACUCAUCGAUAGGUACUGAUCCAUCGUACAGAUUGUUGAACCAUCACUUGAAGUUUGUUGGCUAAACUUUAAAAAAUACUUAACAGCUCAGUAACUUCAAUAAAAACUUUCAAAUAGUUCAAUGAUUAUUUUUAUAAUUUUUUUAAAACUAAAUGACCAAAAUGUAAACUUACUAAUAGUUUAAUCACUUUAGUCUAAUUUACCAAAAAAAAAAAAAGAUUUGAGCCCAAAAUCUUCCUUUCCCUUUCAUGCAUACAAAUACAAACAAAUGGAAAAAAGAAAAUUCUCCUAUACACUAUGAACCAUUGGGGUCCCCCAUUUGUCUUCCAAAAAUAAGUAGCUUGAAGUACAAAUAAAAAAUUGCCAUCAAUUAUAGUCCCACACCACCAUGAGCACCCUUACAAUUUUUUCGUUUGUUUCACACACAAUAAACUCUCAACAUGAAAAAGACUUUCAAGGUACAUGGCAUCUUUGGUUCUACCCAUUGUUGCUACUAUGACAUUAUUGAUGUAUUUUGAUAUUAAUAAAUAAAAUAUCAAUUUUGAGAUUAACAUACAUUUUAAAAAGAAAAAGAAGGAUGAUUCCAUAAAAAAUUUCAUUGUGACAUUAACAUUAUUCAUUAUUUUCUUUUAUCUUAUUGGAUUAAUAAUAUUUCCAACUCGAGCUUAAAUUUUGAUAAUAAACUUAUCCAAAAAAUAAUAAAAAGUCAUAUAUUUUUAUUUGUUAUGCAUUUAAAAUCAUAAAAAAUUAAAAAAUUUUCUAUUUUUUUUCUCCAAGCCAUUUGUUUCUUAUCUUUUGUUUUGCUCAGCGGCGGUGGCAGCCUCCGGUCUAGCUAUCACCUUCCUUUUUCCUCUCCCAUCAACCCUUUAAUUCUUUCUUCUUCUUAUUCACUACACAUGUCUUCUCUCUUUUCAGUUUGCAGAUCUAUUUUGUAAGUAUCUUUGUUGUCUUCACAAGUUGUGAUGGAUAAAUGACGGUACUUGUCGUUCGCUAAAACUCCACCAACCACUAGUAGUUUUUCUUGGAAGGUGGGUGGCUCUUCGUCAACUUCUUAAUUUGUUUCUGUUUUGAGAGUAUUUUAGAAUGAUAAAUAAUUUCACGUGUCGAUUUGGACCUAUGUUGUCUUAAGUUUUAUAUGUUUUUUGUUUGUUUUUCCAUUGUUUAAUAAGUCUUCAGUUUUAGGAGUUUUUGUAUGAUCUUGUAGCACGUUUUUUAAAUAUUGCUUAUGCAUGUAAUCUUAGUUUUACAAGUAAUUUUAGGGACGAUUUUGUUGUCGUCCUCUCUAGUUUGGUGAAUGCUUGAUUCUUUUGUCGAUUUUUGCUCAUCGCUUUGGACCAUCCGGGACUGAUUUUCUUAUUGUAUUAAGUGCUUGCAAUCACUCUAGAUACGUCGUGCUUAAUUCUUGACAAAAUCAAUUGUCAACAUGUCAUAAUAUUCUAUUGAUGCUGAGGCUAAAGCCUUUUUUGUGUUGAUGGAGUUUAUCCUUCACCAUCUGCGACGAAUGUUUGUUAUUUUUUUUUCUGAAUUAUAUGGUUCCAUUCAUUAAAUGAAUUAAUGAAUUUAUCUUUUUAAAAAAAACCCAUCAAAAUUUACAUUAAUUGUUUCACCUAAAAAAAUAUACAUUUAAAUUCAACUAUUUAAAUAAAAUACAUAUUUAUUAUUAAACCAACCCAGCAACCAAAUUAAAAGCUUAGAUAAAUUGCUAUUAAUUAUUUCUGGUAGUACUAUAUACUGCGAUCAUAGCUAUCAUACUGAUACAUAGCAGUCAUAUAUUUUACUGAGUUGAUAUACUCUUAUACGGAAUUUAUAUAUUAGUAAUAAUAAUGAUUUACUAAAAAAAUAUAUCUACAUAAAUUAUUAACAAUGCUUAGUAUUUAUAAUUUUUUUCCAAAUUUAAAUAAUAAUAAAAAUACGUAUUUAGACGCACUUAAAUAUCCCCAACGCCCCCAUAACAUAAGAUGUAUUGAAAUAGUUGAAGUAGUUGAAUAGGAGGAUUGCUAUGACUAUAGCCCUUGGUAAAUUUACCAAAGAGGAAAAGAUUUAUUUGAUAUUAUGGAUUCGUUUUUGUAGGUUGGUCCAGCCUAUUACUCUUUUCUCGUGCCUAUUUUUCUUUAGGGGGUUGGUUUACAGGUACAACAUUUAUAACUUCGUGGUAUACUCAUAGAUUGACUAGCUCCUAGUUGGAAGGCCGCAGUUUCUACCUUGCUAAUAGUUUAGCACAUUCUUUAUUGUUACUAUGGGGCCCUGAAGCACAAGGAGAUUUUACUUGUCGGUGUCAAUUAGGUGGUUUGUGGACAUUUGUUGCUCUCCACGAUGCUUUCGGACUAAUAGGUUUUAUGUUACGUCAAUUUGAACUUACGCGAUUUGUUCAAUUGUGACCUUAUUAUCUUCUUAGUUGUUGUUAUAAUAAUUAUGCCAAUUGAAUUAAGACUUGAUCAUCAUGAGUAGAUAAAUAUUUGAUAUAUUGUUAGUGCAUUAGUCUCAUUAAUCAUCAAUGAAUAACAAUAUGUCAUCUCAUUGUAUUUGAAAUAAAAAAGAGUAUAGAACUUAUAAAUAAAUAUUAAUAACUUUAUUUAAACAUAAACUCUAAACUCGAAAUUCGAAAUUCGAAAUUCAAAAUCUAAAAUUUAACCUUAAACUCAAAACUUGAUGUCAACCUUAAUUUUUAAUUCCUAAGUCAUAAACUCUAAACUUAAAACUUGAUAUAAUUAUAAUUAAUAUUUAUAUUUAAAUAAAAUUAUAAGUGUUUCGUUAAUUUUUGUUAUAUCUAAUGAUAAAGAAAUCUUAUUGUUAUUUUUGAAUGAUGAAUAAAACUCAUACAUUAAUUGUGGACUAAAAGUUAAUUGAUAAAAUUAAUCAAACUUUUUAGAUAAAAAUUUUAUCGAUAAGAAUUGAUUUGGAGUGGAGUUACUGGUAAUAUUAAGAGAUCUAAUUAUACUACUACAAAAUUUUGUGAUUUUCAACGUGAAGGUCUUUGUAUUAAAAGAAGGUAGAUCAAAGAGUACAUUAGUUCUUUUUACUAAAAAUUUCAUUUAUUCUACUGUUAAAAAUUGGUCUCAGUAUGAGAUACAUGUGGCACGUCACGUGUCAAUGUUUGGUUAUUUUGUCAGAUAUACUAGUUUUUAAUAGCAAAAAUUGAUAAAAGUUUUAACAAAAAUGACAAAUUUUCUCUUUGAUCUAAUAUAUAUAUAAACUAAUUUACUUAAUUUUUUAAAUAGAAAAAGUAAAACACAACCUAAUAUCAAAUAUAUUACCUUCAUUAUAUUUUUAUCGAAUUUCGGCUUAAUCUGUCAAGAAAUAUGGGCAAAAAAUUACUAUAACGUAGGUCGAUAAUAGCAAAUAUAUCCAAAUAUGGGCAGAAUAAAUUUUUAGAGGAAGAUGUUUGUAUGUGAUUUGGUAUUUAAGUUUAUUUCCAUAAAUAAGAGGAUAAUGCGCUUCAAUGGACUCAAACCCAUGUCUUCUUAUGCUGAUAAUAAUACCUAUACCAAUUGAACUAAGACUCAAUCUAUAAAUUAAUUUUAAAAAAAAAUUAAAAUUAUUUUAGUUUAUAUAUGAUCUAUUACUCUUAAAAUAUAUCAAUCUUUUAAUAAAUUUGAGUUGAGCCAUAUAUAUUCAUUUUUAAAGUUAUUAUUAUUAUUGUUUAAAUGCGCUUUUUAUUUUUAUUUUCUAAAAAAUUCAAUUAUUUAAAACAUAAGAGGGUAUAAAAAACCCAAAUAAAAGAGGAUAUUCUAGUAAUUUCCAAUGCAUAAUUUCAAAACGGUAACAAAGACCAGAGACAGGCGUGUAAGGAAAUGGGACCAUAUACUCUCCCAAUUAGGCAUCAAAAUUAAAUAAUCCGAAAAACGAAAUAAAAAAAGGGAAAAAGCCUGGCCCAUUUAAACACAAACCCUUUCGAUAUCGCUCCAACACGCGCUAUACUCCGACAAUCACAACGCCAUCCAAUCAAACCCCUCUUAAUUGCCCUUUUCCAGUAGGUCCUACAGCGCGUGAACAAAAAAUCGCGUGAAAUUGAAUUUUAAUUUUUGGUAAAGAUAAAAUGAAGUUUCUCAAUUGCAUUAAAAUCAGUAUUAUUGAGCAUUUAUUUUUCCUUCUUUCCUUUUAGUUUUUGAUUCUUCAAGUUUUCAUUACAUGAACGCAAGAUCUUCGCUUUGCUCUGUCAGAAUCCAAACCUGAAAUCAAACUUAAGAGCAAAAGAAAAACCUGAAACCAAAGCAUCUCCAUAGGUUUCUUGGUAUUACAAUCUCUGUUCUAAGUUCUUGAAAGCUCCCAUUUUGAGCAAAGAACUGAAAGCUCUACCACAGGCAAAUAAAAAAGGAAAAGCCUUUUACUUUUUCUUUUUCAGCAUCUGAUUCUUACAAGGUAUCAUCUUGUUUCCUUGGUCUUUUAAUUUCUGGGUUUGCUUUUUUAUUUACUGUUUGAGAUUUUAUUUGCUCUAAAACUCUUUUUUUUUGGGUGUCCUGUUUCAGUGUUCUCUUCAAUUUCCUAUGUAAACUCAAGAUUAAAUUCUGGGUUUUGUUUUUUACACUGGAUUGUUUGAUUUUUUUGAGUACUUUUAUUUUUAUUUAUUUGGAAUUUGGGAUGUUAAUUAAGAACCUGAUUUGAUUAAUUUAGUUAAUCAAAGCAUUUUACUUUAGAUCCAAGUGGUUGCAAAAUGUGGUAAGUGAUAAACAGAAUAAUCUAUGCAUUAUGUUUGUUCAUUCUAUGCUUUGGAUUUUUCAUACAAAUUUAGAUUAUUGUAGAGUAAUUGAAAUGAUUUUGCAGCAAUGUUUUGUGUUAGCUUAUACAAUGAGUAUACUGUUCUCAGUUGAACAUUCUGUUGACUAAGAAAUAAGAAUGUCCCUUUCAUUUACAAGAGCAACAGAAUUUGUAUGUAACGUCAAGGACGCUAGGUGCCGAACCGGCUGGUUUCAGUUACUAUCAGUUUACAUAGUCUGAAAAGGACUAGUGAUUUAUGCUGCAUGCUUAUAGGGGCUAUACCCUUAAUUUUCGGAACUGUAGGUUGGGAUGUGUGUUAGACGAAAUUAGUCAAUAUUGAAGAAAAUGAUGGAUUCGUUUGUAUUUAGAACUUAGGCUAUUGUCUCCGAGUGAACACUGCAAGCUGUUAAAAAUUGAAAUUUUAACCUAGAGCUCGUGUUUGAAUCUUUGGGAUGGAGGAGCGAGGUUUAUGUGAUGGGAGAUGGUCCAUACUUGCCAUUACUAGGGAGUCAAGUUCCUUUGCUUUGUCUUGCUACUGCUGUUACGAUUUUGUUUAAACAAGUUUCUUCCUUUGCGAGCUAGUAUGCUAAUUCGGUUCAUCAUUGUUAUGCAGUGUCGAGGCUUUUCGAUAUUAACUCCCAUGUGGUGAUGCUAUAAGAAUCUUAUGCUGGUAAUAAUCUGAACAUGGAUAAGGCAUCUCCAGAUUGUCCGUACCCCGGGUGCUUUUUCUGUGUCAUGAAGGAAGGAAACCCGAGCAAGCGCAGAGCCAGUAUUCUGAAAUUCUUUCGAGAUCUUCCUUCACAAGAUGAUGAUGGUCAAGUUCUUCCUAUCAGUGGCCUUUGGAAUACUGCUAUGGCACAUCCUAAUGAUCCUGAAUUCAUCGAGUUAGGGAUUUUUGAGUGUAUGUCUGCUCUAAUAUGGAAGGGUCUCAAGAACCGCCGCUGGCUUUCUCAUGACCAAAAUAUAUACAUUCCUUAUUAUGCAGCACACAUUAUUGGAUCCUACACCAUGAACAUGGAAGAGUUUGCGGAAAGUGCAGUGCAUGCUGGUGUAAUUCCUCCCUUAGUUGAGCUUUUGAGAGGGAGGUUGACUUGGGUUGAACAAAGAGUGGCAGUGCGAGCUUUAGGACACUUGGCUACAUAUACGAGCACUUUUCCUUCUGUAGCAAGUCACGGAGAAAUUCUUGAGGUCGCCAUUCAGCUAGCAAUGAGUUCACUGGAAAUAGUUUACUCUCACUUCUAUCAGUAUGUUGAUAGAAGGUUAAGUUAUCACUGCGAUCUGCUUACUCGUGGCAUGGGUGGUGUUGAAAUGGAGUCAAGAAAAGCUGAAGAAUGGGCUAGUCAGCUUCAAUGUUGGUCCCUUCAACUCAUUAAUUGCUUUGCAUUCAAACCUGAGUUUCUUCCCACCAUAUGCAAACCUGAAUUUCUUGUAAAACUACCGGGAAUGUGGGGUGGACUUGUUAAUGAAAACUCACCUGCUGGUAUUGGUUUGUUAAGAACCAUCUGUCAUCAUAAGAUUGGUAGGGGAUCUGUUGCCAGCUGUCCUGGCAUUAUCGAAGCGUUGGUUAAUAUUGCUUGCUCGUCUGAUGAUUGGCAGUAUAUGGCAAUUGAUUGUCUUCUUUGGUUGCUUCAAGAUCCAAGCACAUGUCAUAAGGUAUCUUAUUAUUGUUGAGAAUAAUUUAAUAUAAAUUGGUACCCCUUCCUAAACUAUACAAGCUUCUUCCGAAGCAUAUGAUGUACUUUUUGCCUUUUGUUUGGUAUGGUGUUCUCCGUAUAAGUUAUCUUCAUUUGUUACACAGGUGAUUGAUAAGGCAGUACCUGCUCUUGUAGACCUUGCAGAGAUUACGACUCUUGGUGAUCACAAAAAGCUUGGAGAUACCAUUGUUAAUGUUCUUCAGGAAUGUCUUCAAUCCCAAGGGAUGGGACGGAGCUCUGUCAGCAACCGGACAAAAGAGCUAAUUGAAGAACUAUUGAGUUCAAGGCAGAGAUUGAAGUGGGAAAAGAAUAUACCGAAGGAGGAUCUCCACAUUAAACAGGCUGCUGCUUUAGUGGUCAAGCUUGAAGGAAACUCUCUUUUCUCAUCAGGCAAUAUAGCUGGAGCCGCAUCGAAGUACUCAGAAGCAUUAUCGUUAUGUCCGAUGAGAUCCAAGAAAGAGCGAGUUGUUCUCUACAGUAAUCGAGCUCAGUGUCAUCUUUUAUUGCAGCAACCCUUGGCUGCCAUAAGUGAUGCUACACGUGCAUUAUGUCUUCAUAACCCAUUGAACUGUCAUGCCAAAAGCCUAUGGAGAAGAGCUCAGGCUUAUGACAUGCUUGGUUUAGCUAAAGAGAGUUUGCUAGAUGCCAUUCUCUUCAUAAAUGAAUGCUCGCAAUCAAACGACCCUGAUCUCUCGUUGAGGCAAAAUAAGGUUCCUGAUUAUGCGGAACGAUUAGUCAAGAAGCAGAUGCGUGCAGCUUGGUUAUUUAGAGAGGCAGCUAUCAAACUCGGGGGUGUGCACUGUGAGGGUGAUGCAGGUGACAUGUAUGGCCAAGAUACCGAUGACUCCGAGUGGGAAACAGCUAGCGAAAGUGAUAUAGGAAAUGAUGGAAGGGAUGAAAUGGGUGAUGAGGACGACGAUGAUAGUGAAUGGAAGAAUGAAGAUGAAAGGAAAGCUAAAUUCAAGAAACCAUCAAUGAAAGGUAAAAAAUUAACAUCUUAACGCUUUUGUUGUUUUUGGCUAUCAAUCCCGAACAUUAUAUUGGUUCCUCGACUUUUUUUUACAGACAUAAAGCAUGGAUUCAACGUACAAGUCACCGAAGAUGAACCGUGAACUGUUGAAGGACCAACAGCAUUGAUGUAGACAGUGUAGCGAACCAAAGCAACCAUGAUAUAUGUUUCGGAUUUAUUAUUUCGUGUUGCGGAGCUAUAGCCUAGUCACGUUUAGAAGUUGGUGUCACAUCUAGCUCAGUGAAGAAGCAAGUUAGAGGUGGUGAAGCUUUGGUUUUGGUCAUUUUCAUUUAGAGAUGAAAGAACUUUGUUUUGCAAGCAUUUCUUAUUUGUUUUUUUUUUUUUCUUAUUUCCUAUUGAUUUUGGUAAUGUUAAUUUCAACUGUAGAAAGCGAGAGUUUGGAGUGUAGAGAACCAUUUUGUUUGCAGGGUGUGAUGAAGCUUUUGUGAGAAAUCUUAUGCUCCUUGUGUAUAUAAAAACCCUUGAAGUGGGGGUUUUUGACAUUGAACUAUCAUCAUAUAUUUGAAUCAUAGUUUGCCCUUUUAUGAUAAUUCUUGGAAUCUUAGUACGUGAGUUCAAGUAAGGGUGUAAUCGAGUCGAGCUGAGUUUGAAUAUUGUCAAGUUCGAAUUCGAUUCUAAAUUCAAAACUCUAUAUUUAGCUCGAAUUCGAUCGAACAUUUAUUUUUAAGUUUGAGCUCAGCUUGAGAUAUAAUCAAGCCUGGUUAUUAAUUUUCAUGCUAAAGCUUGAGCUCGAGCUUGAUUAAAAGCUCGAAUCUAUUUAUUUUUAAUCGAGUUUGAGCUUUUUUCAAGUCGAACUUGAAUAACUUGUGAACACUAAAAUCUUAUUUACACUCAUGUCCUGUAAGUUUAAAUGAUUGACCUGUAUUUUGUAGGGUUUGGGCACAGAGAUUUGUAUUCUUGGUUUUUAAGAAAAUUUAGCUUUUAUUUUUUUUUUCAUAAUUGAAAAACACGUUGAUAAAUUGAAAAAAAAAUAUUUUUAAUAAUAAAAAUAUGUUUGGUAACUAUUUUUCUAUAAAAAGAACAUGAUAAAUAAUGUUAAGGUAAUAUGUGAAGAAUGAAAUUGAGUGGUAGUCGGUAGUGUCUAUUGUAAGUUGUCACUGAGGCAAUUUAAUGGAAAAAAAUGUUUAGAUUUAUUAAUGUGUUGUUACUUAGAAGAUAUUAUGGUCCAUCUAUGAAAAUCAAUCUUUGAUUUUUGAAGAUUGAAUUGGAUAUGAGCGAAUCAAUUAAACCUUUGGAAUGUGAAGAUUCAGUUGAGAUUGCCUUGUUGGUUUUGGAAAGCAUAUCUUCGAUCAAUUAUGAUUUGAAUGUUAAUGUUGUAAUAGCUAUUUCAAGGAGUUACUUUAUAUUCACUUAGACUUUACGUUAGCAAGCUGAGAUUGAUAUAUGUUUAGAAGGCUUGUCUAGGUUUUUGCAUGAGAGAUUAUUGGGAGUACUUGAAUUUAUUAAUUGAGGAACUGAUUUGUGAGUAACUGCAAGCUGAAUUGUAAACAUGGAGUGUUUAUUGCCGAAGUUCUCAAUGAGAGAAUUUGGAGGUAAGUUCUAGUAUUUAGGUACAAAGGUGAAAUCUCUAUACUUGGGGAGUGAUAGAAUGUGAUUUACUUGUUCUAUUGUGAAUAAAAGAUAAUGAAAUUACUAAUUGAGCUAGGCUUCACAGACGUAAUAAAACCAAAUUGCGUAAAUAAAUCUUUUGUGUUUUUUAUUUUUGUUUGCACAAUUUUCCAUAGUAUUAAAUUGUAGUUGUCACUAUAAAUUACAGUCAAGCCCUUCCACUACCUAUUUCCAUUAAGCAAACAACAAUUGUAGGUAGCAACAAAUAAAAUAAAAAAUUCUACUUUACAUGGAUUCAAACUAGAAAAACAAAUUUGAUAUUUAAAAAUUAUUGAAUUUUCUUUUCUGUGUUUAUACGAGUUAAAAUUAGGGUCAAUUGUUUUAGUCAAGAUAAAUGAAAAUAACUUUUUUUUUUCUAAUUUUCACAUAUUUUCGUUUUUAUUUUUCAAAAAUCAUUUUUGUAAUUUUCAACUAAAAAUUACAAAAAACCCCUCGAAAAUAACAUUUGUUUCUUAAAAUUAAACGGUAGAAGUGAAGUUAGAAAUUUUUUGGGUGACGAAUUUCAGUUAUAUAUUUUUAUGAGAGCUAAAAUGCAAUUUCAUUAUUUUAAUAGUUUAUAUCUUUAUAAUUUUUAAAAGAUUAAAUCAAAAUUUUAUUAUUUUAGAGGUUAAAAUACAAUUUUAAUAUAUACUAACUUAAAAGUUUAUAAAUUUUUAAAAUAUUAAAAUUUAAAACUGAAAAUUUUCAUUUUAAGGAGUUAAGUUCUCUGCAAACCCCUAACGUGGCCCUAUUAAACGAAAUUUAAUAUUUCGAAAACUUAUUAUAUAAUUUAUUUUUAUGAUGCGAAUUUCAGCUUUCUAGGUUUGUACAAAUAUAAAGAUUCAAAUCAUAUUUAAAAUAAAAAUAAAAAUAAAAAUAAAAAUUCUUUUUAGACAAAAUCAUGAGAAUUUCCGAAUCUAAUCUAUAAAAUAAAAAGCUUAAUAAGAUAUAUAAGCCGUAUGCUAAACCAAAAACGUGUAUAUUACAGUUAGAUUCCAAAAACAUGAAACAAGAAAGAAAAUAACGACAAUGGCAACAACUAUGAAUAUUUUUUUUUAGGGUAAACCAUUAAAAUAGUCACUUUUGUUUACAUCAUGUUACAUUUUAGUCAUUUAUGUUUGAAAUGUUACGUUUUAAUUACUUAUGUUAUCGUUUUGUUACGAAACGAUCACUCUGCUAUUAAAAUCUGUUACCUCCCAAACGACAGUUCGACGUGAUACUUAAAAUGGGUUUUAGAUGUCAACAUGGAUGUUUAACCAAGUAAAGUAAUUGAUCUUUCUAAAUUAAUUAAAGGAAAAUGCUACUUUGGUUUUCUGAAAUAAUCAAAACCAAUGCAUCAGAUUAAUCCUUAAACUGGAAAAAAAUAACUCUUGGUCUCCUUUUUCUUUUAGUUUUCGUUUCCAUUUUGAUUUAAAAAAACCAUCAAUUUUCUUAGCCAUCUUUGUUGAUUGGAAACAGUAAAAACCAAAUUGAGCGUUCCAUCAACCGGUUAGAUUUUUUUUUUUCAAAAUGAAAGAACAAAGGGUCGAUUCAAUAGAGGGUCCAGGCAUGGAUUACAAUAAGUAAUGAGUUUUUUUUUUGUUCUUUACUUGAAUUUUGGGUUCAGAUAUUAUGAGUUUUUUUUUUUGCAAAAAGGUGGUCCAUAUUUUUAUGUUUUUUUUUUGUAUAUGCGACAAACAAAAAGGACAUGCUCCAUAUUGAUUUAUUUGUGUGGGCAAUCACCAUAGCAAGUAGGUAUAGAGGUUGGUGCAUCCAUUUCUUCUUCUUCUCUGUUGUUUUACUCUUCUCUUCUCUAAUGGUAACAAAAAAAUUCAACUGUUGCUUCUUUUUAAACAGAAGAAAAUUGGAUUUUAGGGUAAAAUUUUGUAUUCUAUUUUCAUAAAAAAAAUUUAAAUUUUUUCAUCCCAGUUAGACAUCCACGUGGAUAUUUAAAACCCAUUUUAAUUGUCACGCUGGACUGCUAUUUGGAAGGUAACAUAUCUUAAUGGCAGAGUGACCAUUUCAUAACAAAACGAUAACAUAAAUGGUUAAAACGUAACUUUUCAAACAUAAGUAACUAAAAUAUAACCUGAGACAAACAAAAGUAACUAUUUUAAUAAUUUAUCUUUUUUAUUAUUAUUAUAAAACUACACAUAGAAAUUAUAAUAAAUAUAAAAAUCAAUAAAAUAAAUUAAAAAUAUAAAAAUAUUAAAUUUUAUAAAUGAUAUAACAUUAAAUUCAUCAACAUGGGAUUCCAAUUGCUACGGUUUUGGUUUUUUUUGUUGAACAUUUACCGAGGCUUUGGAAUUUUAUUUUUAAAUUUUAUUAUUCAGUAAGACAAAAAGUUUUGGGCAAAAUAUAGAAUAAAUAAUACAUAAGAGAUUUUGGAUAAUCUUUUUAAUUAUGGUUCAUGCGAACAACAAGAUUAAUGUUUCAUAUAUACGGAAAAAUGACGGUCCAUACUAUGAUUUUAAUUUGUAUGAUAUUAACUUUGAAAUAAUCACAUUUAAUGAUUCUGCUGACUUUUUUUUUUAAUUUUAAUUUUUUUAAAUGUUAUACUUUAUGUGAUAAUGACAAUUACGAUGAUUAGAAAAUUAUAAUUAUAUUUAUGGUGAAGCUAAUGGUUUUGGUAUAAAUAUUAAGGAAAAAAUAUUUCGAUAUCAUCCAAGUUGAAGAAUAAAAUAGGAAAAAAAUAUUUUACAAAUUAGGAUAAAUUUUAAUUAAUAAUCAAACGUUAAUUGAAAAAAAAUUAGACAAAUGUUAAUCGAGUUGAUUGUUAAAAGGUGUUAAAUUGUGUAAAAAAAAAAGUAUUGAAUUUAUAACGUCUGCUUCUGGUUUUAGUCCCUCCACUAUCUUAAAAUUUGAAUUUAAUCCUUUUAAUUUGGUAAAAUUUAAUCCUUUACUUUUUAUAAUAUUAUUAAUAAAUCUAAACCGAUACAUUGUCCGCUACUGCUGUUGUUGAAACAAUGACUUGAUUUUUUGAUAUUUUUACAAUUAUAAUGGCAUGAAUGAAUGACUUUUUCACAGUUAACAGUGUUAUUAAUUUGAUUUAUCAAUAAUAAAGGAUCAAAGCCAAUGAGGCUAUGGGUGCAAUUGAGCCGAGCCGAGUUUGAUUACCGGCAAGCUUAAGUUUGAGCUCAACUUGCAAUUCAAAACUUGAUACUUAGCUCGAGCUUAAUUGAACAUCUAUUUUUAAGCUCGAGUUCAAUUUGGUUAAGCUUGUUUAUCAAUUUUCAUACUCACACACGAACUCGAGCUCGAUUAAGGGUGUAAGUAUUUAAGCUUGAACUAGAAUCAAUAAUUAAGUUUAGGGUCAAUAAUAUAAAUUAAAGGCAAUAAUGUAAUUUAAUAGUAUAAGUGUUUAAAGCAUAUAUUAAAAAUGAAAAACUCGAUAAGACUCUCAAGCCGUUUAAGUCGAGUAUUACUAAGCUCAAAUUCGACUCAAUUAAUAACUUGAGUUGCUUGAGCUCAGGUCAAUAAUUAUAGAAUCGAGUUUGAGGUUUUUUUUUUCAUUUCAAACUCAAAUAGCUUGCGAGCAUCAAUGUGUCAUUUACACCUCUAGUUGACACUUUAGAAUCUUGAUGUUCUAAGUUUGAGUAUCAAAUUUUAAAUUUAGGUAUAAUAAAGGGACUCAAACAAGAAUUAAACCAAUUCAUAAUAAGUAAUUGGAUUAUAUAAAAAAAGAAAUCAGUUUUUUUUAAACAUUAAAAAAAAAGGAAUUCCACGUUCGAUGGAAAUUUGAAUUUGGAAUAAAAAAAAAAAAACCCAUAUAAAUAACUUGCGCCAAGAGCUAAAAUCAUGAUUUCGAUCAUUUGUGAGGCUUUCUUCACCAGCAUUCAAUUCUCCCAGUUAAAAAACUUGAAAACUCGAAAUGAAUUUUGUUAUGAAUAUCUGAAGGAAAAAAAAUGGUGGAAAUUUCAGUUACAGAGUAAUGGAGAGAGGUUGCAAAGAUUAAUAGAGUUUCUAGUUCUGUUGUUUUGAUGCGUUGCCGUUUUAAGAACUUUCUGCCUCUGCUCAAGUAUGCUAAAAAGCACUUUCUAGUUUGAAUUUUUUUUAGACUUUCUCAAUGGAUUUCAGUGUUCUCAAGGUGCUAGAAUUAUUAUAUUGCUUGAUUUGCAAGGCACAAAUCACAAUAUGUAUAUAUAUGUAUGUGUGAUUGUGUAUGUCUAUCUAGUUUACCUUAUAAAACAUGCAAUUUUGUUUUGUUGUUCAAUAUGCAUCAUUCAUUAUGGUCCUAUUAUAUAUGAUCUUUUAUAUGGUAGUUGUCACUGCUUUCUUUUCCCUUUAAGUUUAUGCAAAAUACUCCAUUUUAGUUUUUGAUAUGCUGACGUUGCUUAGUUGAUUUAUUAAACAGAUGUGCCUGGUUAGUUGGUGAGCUGCAAUAUUACAAGGCAUAUUCACUGCUUAGAAGCUUUCACGCUAAGACAAAUUGAAGUAUGCGCUCUUGCCAACAUAUCUUGUCGAUGGAGUGCGGUUAACACUAUUGGCUUUUGAAUUGGAAUCGUGAGAGCUCGGUUUGGAGAAUCUUCUUAUGUUUCUUAUAACGUGAAUUUGUUACAUUGGUCUUUCCUUCUACAGAGCAAUGAGCAUUAGUUUAGCUACUGAUUGCAUGUUAUCUUUCCCUCGUUCUUUGUAUCCUAUUGGUCGUCAUGUAUAACAAAUCAUAUCAUAGGUGUUUAGAUACCAUCUUACUUAAAAAUAGAGAUUUUAUUUGCAUUUCUAGUGUAGAAUUUUUUCUUAAGCAUAGGAAGUAAUUAGUGCUAUUUUCCCUUCUUUCUUUAAUCAUUAUAAUCUGGCAAUUGUUGUUAAUGCAUUCCAGAUUCUUCCCUCCUAACUUGGUAGCUAAUCUUUGAUACUGUGCAGGGGUCCACCUUCAGCAAUGCCAUCUCUUCAACUGUUGCAGUUAACCGAGCAUGGCCAAAAUCUUCUGGCCUCUAGGAGGUAUUGAUGUAUUUUAUUGGUGAUAAUAAAUUCGUAUACCAAUAAUAGUGGUUAAUGUAUUAACUGUUGCAGUUAAUAGAGGUUUCUAUUGAUAAAUCAAGUAGAGCCAUUUUAUAAGCCUCCCUUCACUUGAAUAAUGAGCAGCACAACUGAAGGGAGUGGCCCUAUGGAUAAACAGCUCUAUGCUUUGCACAGAUUAGAAUCUUUAAAAUGUUUAAAGAAUGAUGCAACACAUGAUCCUUUCAUGAAAGCUUUCUUGCAUUGUAGGUUUAGUUCAUGAAUACCCUGGCAUGUUUUCUACACUCGCUCUGCAUGCAUCAACUGCAAUUUUGGGAGCAAUAUUAUCAAGACAUCCACUCUAAAAGAGUUUUUCCCUAAUGCACAAGGCUCCCAACUUAUGAAGAUUUAUCAUGCGCAGCAUCCCCCCUCUGGUUACACGGGCAACGUUACUGUUGCUACUGAGGCUCUCCCUCGAACGACAUCCAUUCUAUCUAUCAGGAAAACCUUGAAAGUUGCUCCUUUGAUUAUUAUAAAAGUAUUUUAAAAUUUCAUAAGGAGAGCAAUGUAGAGAAAGAAAAUCAUGAUGUUUUUUUAAUUUACUUCAGACAAGCAGAGAGGACAUUGAGACACUCAUUGUUCUGUGGAGUGAGUGAAUCCAUAUAAAACUGGUUUUGAGUAAUGCCUUUGUGAUCAGGUUGUUCAUAACUAACCUUGGGGCUUUUCCACCCUUGGUUAAGCCAGUCCUGUUUUGUCUUCCUAUAGUUGUACUAAAUAACAGUACAAAAGAUUGGACCUUUUAGAUAAAAUACCAUCUUAUCAAUCAUCUUUCUUCUAAGUUUUGGUACUCUUCAACAUAAUUGCAGUUUUUUAUCUGUCUGUUACCACACUAUCAAGGUAAAUAUGUUAUAUGACAAGAUACCAUUCUUCACCCCACUGAUCCAGUGGGCCUCUGUUGGAUGUCCAUGCUAUGACUUAUAAUACUCUUAUUGUAUUACAAUUCUUCAUUCCACUGUCCAGUGUUUUAUUACUUUUAUGGUUUUACAGGAAGACACUACUGCUUGGUUCUGGUAUUGUGGCUGCUGGUGGAGCUGUUGCUUAUUUACAAUCACGGUUUAGUAGUAAAAAGCCUGAUUCACCUGGUCAUUACAAUGGGACCCGAGAUAAAAGAGAAAAUUCAGAUAAGGUCCUUAAAAAGAAUAAUAAUGUAAAGAGAACUAGAAAAAAGAAAGGUGGAUUAAAUUCCCUUCAGGUUUUAGUAGCAUUUCUUUUAUCCAAGAUGGGCAAAGUUGGUGCAAGAGAUCUUUUGGCUUUGGUGGGCACUGUGGUAAGCCUUUCUAUUUGUGUUGCAACAUACUGUGGUUUAAUACUGUGUUUGAUUCCCGAGUUUUUGUUAUCUUUUAUCUUUUAUUAGUUUCACAUCAAACUUUUUAACUGCAAUUGCAAACAUUAUUAAGAAAAUAGACCAGAUUAAAAAAAGGUUGGAGAUUAUUUGAGGUUUACCCUUCAAAAACGGGGCUGUAUAGUUUUUCCCUGAUGUUGAAUCUUUGGGGUAGAGGUGCUGCUUGACCUGGUGCUAAGUGGCAUAUAACAGAAGGCUUUGGUUCAAAUCCACUUUUAUGCUAGACAAUGAUAAUUUGUUACGACAAUAAAACAUCAGCCAACGGUUUUACUGAUAUUGUAAUGAUUUUUUAGGAUCUUUUGAUCUAGAAUAGGAAAAAUACAAGAAACUAAGGUCAGUUACCAAGGUCUAGUUGCUUGAUUUCUUCCUUCAGUUCUUUUUGUAUUUAGUUAGUGUAUUUGGCGAUAUAAGAAACAUGAGAAGGAACUGGGUAUCUAUCUGCUUUUGUUAUACAUGCACCUGUGCAGAGAGGUAUAUAAACACCUGUGAUUUUAGCUUGCACUUCUCAUGUCAAAUACAUCAAAUAUUACAACUAGGAUAGAGAAAACUUAAAAAUGGUGAAUGGAAAUGUAAUUCCCUUCCAAGGGGAUGUGUCAUAGGAGACUUUUGUAGCUUGAACUAUAGGGGAUUUUCUGUUCUUGUUAAGAAAAGCAUCUAUCUUAUACUUUUUGCAGGUGCUGAGAACGGCUUUGAGCAAUAGAUUAGCAAAAGUUCAGGGAUUUCUAUUCCGUACUGUUUUUCUCCAGAAUGUACCAUCAUUCUUCCGGCUAAUCUCUGAAAAUAUUCUUUUGAGCUUUCUUCUGUCAACCAUUCAUUCUACUUCAAAGUACAUAACCGGUAACCUAAGUCUGAGGUUCAGGAAACUACUGACGAAACUCAUCCAUGCACAUUACUUUGAGGUAGUUGUCUGCUUUUGCUAUUGGAGUAAUCUAUAUAUACUAUAUUUUUCUAAUUUCUGUCCUAUGUUAUGCUCAUUUUUAAUCUGGUUAGAUCAGGUAUCCUUUCAUAAUUCAUGAACCAUACUCUGUUAUUCAAAUUUUCUCCUGCAUGUGAACUUAUCUUCUUUGCACAUCUUUAUCAGUGGCAGGAGGAAUACAUGUUUGUUGUUUUGUAUUUAGUUGUCUAAUAUUCUUCAUAUCUGAGUUGGUUUUUUCUAAUGUGCAUGGUACCUUUAACCAAAGCAUUGUGGGACUAAUGUCAAAAUCUAGCCUAGGUUUCUGAUAAUUAACUUCAGAAUCAUAUAAAAUUCUUUUUUACUGGAAAAGUUCCUACUCAAGUUGUUGUAACAUGGCUGACAUCUGAAGGGGUAAUGCCACUGAGUAAAUUUCCUAUGGGUGGCGAAAGUUCUACAACUUCUAUUCUACAAUCUAGAGAUCAGAUGCCUUUUUCCCAUCUUUGAGGAUGAUGUUACUUUACUAUUGUUUGUUCCCUUGUGCAGGAAGCACAUAUCUAUUGGAUUAUAUGCAUGAUAAGUUUCUUUUUUAUUUUCUUGUUCUAGUAUGUUUUCUCUAUUGUUUUAACAUAUAUAAUUUCAGAACAUGGCAUAUUACAAAAUAUCACACGUUGAUGGACGGGUACGGAAUCCUGAGCAACAAAUUGCUAGUGACAUACCAAGAUUCUGUUCGGAGUUAAGUGAGCUUUUACUGGAUGAUUUGACAGCAGUUACUGACUGUCUUGUUUAUACUUGGUCUCUUUGUUCUUAUGCUGGCCCAAAAUACUUUUUCUGGAUAUUGGUAAUUCUUUAUCUAUACUCUUACAUGAUUUUCUGGCAAGGCUCUGCCACUUUGUCAGAUUAACAAAUUGGGUUGCUUUAUAGGGAUUUAUUCUGGGAGCAGGAGCUGCCAUAAAAAACUUCUCUCCUGCUUUUGGGAAACUAACGUCAAAAGAACAACAGUUGGAAGGAGAAUACAGACAGCUUCAUUCAAGGUUAAGGGUCCAUGCAGAAAGUAUAGCAUUUUAUGGUGGAGAAAGUAGAGAAGAGUCUUAUAUUCAACAGAAGUUUAAGACUCUUGUUAGGCACUUGAGGGUUGUACUUCAUGACCAUUGGUGGUUUGGCAUGAUUCAAGAUUUCUUGUUGAAGUAUCUUGCUGCUACUUUUGUUGUUGUCUUGAUUAUUGAGCCUUUCUUUGCUGGCCAUCUUAGACCUGACUCUUCAAUAUUGGGACGGGCAGAGAUGUUUAGCAAUUUAAGAUAUCACAUCGGUGUUGUAAUUCCACUAUUUUUGGCCCUGGGUACCCUUUCUAUAAGUUCAAGACGGGUAAAUCGUCUCAGGUAUUUCUUUGUUGAUUUCUGGCUCUGAGAGUUGUUAGUGAUAUAACUUUUGGAAGAAAAACAUGUGGAGUAAAAUUAGGCACUUUCUGAGAGAUAUCCAUUGAAUUUUACCAUGCACAUCCAUAAUAUUCAUGAUGAAUAUAUUUCUCAUUCUGUAAUAGUUACUGAUUAGUACAAGGAACGUGAGAGACAGAUUUCUGGUUCAUAUAAUAACUUCAGUUUAAUUCUUAUUGUUAUUUCUUUUAAUAUCUUCCAGUGGUUAUGCUGACCGUAUUCAUGAGCUAAUGCUUAUAUCAAGAGAGCUAAGUGCUGAUGAUAAAAAAGCAUCCCUGCAAAAAGCUGGAAGUAUGAAUUACUUAACUGAAGCUAACUUUGUUGAGUUUUCCCGUGUCAAGGUAUUUGAGAUGAUAUUUAACCAUUUAUGGUUCUUAAUAUGCUUUUAGCAUUUUUUUUUUCUAAUAGCUAUAAUGCUAUCAGGUUGUCACUCCAACCGGGAAUGUUUUGGUGAAGGAUCUCUCUCUGAGGGUUGAAUCAGGAUCUAAUCUUUUAAUUACAGGUUUUUUCCUCGAAAAUAUUGUAAUUUACAUUAUUACCUUUAAGAUGCCUUUUGCAAUCAUCGCCUCAUCUUUUUUGACAUGCUUCUAUUUUACUUCAUUCAUUUAUAUUAUUGUAGAGGAAGUGUAAUGACUAAUGUGCUUUUUAUUGGAAACAAGAGUUAUACACGUAUGUGUGUGUUUUAUACAUGCACUCUUGGUUUAUCAGUGUAUAUAUGCUAUCCUUCUUUAUAUUCAUGUUCCCCAAAUUUAAGUGACUGUUGUUUGAAAGGGUUUAAAGGAUGUAUUGUGACUUUUAGGCCAAUAAAAAUCUUUUGCUUUUUCUGUUCUGAAGGUCCAAAUGGCAGUGGGAAGAGUUCCCUUUUUCGGGUUUUAGGUGGCCUUUGGCCACUGGUAUCUGGCCAUAUUGUGAAACCUGGAGUUGGUUCUGAUCUUAAUAAAGAAAUAUUCUAUGUGCCACAAAGACCAUAUACAGCUGUUGGAACCCUUCGCGACCAGUUAAUCUAUCCUCUUACAGCAGAUCAGGAGGUUGAGCCUCUUACACAUAGUGGAAUGGUGGAGCUAUUGAAAAAUGUAUUGGUUUCAUCUCAUAAUAUAUAUAUUUCUAUUUCUUAAAAUUGUAUUGGUGCUUUUUAUUUCAUUUUGAGUUUUAUUGGCUACUUUCAGAAUAAUUCUUCACUUUGUUGUCCAUUCAGGUUGACCUUGAGUACCUAUUGGAUCGUUACCCACCUGAGAAAGAGGUUAACUGGGGAGAUGAACUCUCUCUUGGGGAGCAACAGAAAUUGGGAAUGGCUAGACUGUUCUACCAUAAGCCUAAAUUUGCAAUUCUUGAUGAGUGCACAAGUGCUGUGACAACUGAUAUGGAGGAAAGGUUUUGUGCUAAAAUUAGAGCCAUGGGUACAUCAUGCAUAACCAUAUCACAUCGUCCAGCACUAGUGGCAUUCCAUGAUGUGGUUUUGUCCUUGGAUGGGGAAGGAGGAUGGAAAGUUCAUUACAAAAGGUACAGAACAUAAUUUUGUGGUGAUCACAUAUCUUACCGAUUUUUUGGGCGCGUAACUGAACUUCUAUAGCACUUGCAGAGAGGACUCCUCGUUAGAAAGUGAAGGUGGGAUGGAUUUGACUAAACUUUCUGUGACAGACCGCCAAAAUGAUGCAAUCACUGUUCAACGGGCAUUCACUGCAGCUAAAAAGGUCUUAAAACUUAAGAAACUUUGUUUUCAUGUGCUUUUGGUUUUGUUUGAUUGGACCUGUUUUUCUCUCACUGCAAAAUUUUGAGUGAAUUUGUUUAGGAAUUUGCAUUCUCAAAUCCAAAGACUCAACCAUAUGUAUCAGAGCUCAUAACAGCAUCACCCUCUUUGAGUCAUGAUGUUAAGUUAUCUGUGGUUCCUCAACUCCAGAGGACUCCAAGAGUACUGUCUUCAAGGGUAGCUGCCAUGUUUAAAGUACUGGUAUGAACGGAAACUGCCUUUUUUUUUUUAAUUAUUUGCAGAAAUUAAUCUAAUACACUUAAAGGAUGAUUUGCCUAUCAUGGAUUAGUAAUGAUGGAUUUGAUCACCUUUUACUAAAUGUUCUCAAAUAUGACUCUGUAACUGUAACAUAGCUUAUGCAAGUACUGUUAUAUUUUAGUUAUCUUCAAUAUUUGAAUUCUAGUAAACCUGGUGCAAGAAAUCCUUAAUGUUAGGAAUGAGCACAUGUUGUUCUCAUCCACUAACACAAGUUUAUAAAUUCCAUCUACAACCUUAAAUUCUUGUGUCUCAGGUACCUACCGUAUUUGACAAACAAGGGGCUCAACUACUUGCCGUUGCUUUUCUUGUUGCCACAAGAACAUGGUUAUCAGAUCAGAUUGCGACAUUAAAUGGUAUUAGAAAUAUAUUAUUCUAUUUCUUAUCCAUUUUAAAAUCUGAGAGAUUGUUUUUACUUUUACUUAAAUGCAUCUAUUCUCAGGAACUACUGUGAAGUAUGUUUUGGAGCAGGAUAAGGCAGGAUUUAUACGAUUAAUGAGUAUAAGUGUCCUUCAAAGUGCCGCAUCUGCUGUCAUUGCUCCUUCCUUGAGGUAAUUUUUUAUAUUCAUUAUGACCUAUAUGUGAAAUACUUAAACAAAAAGAGGGAUAUACAGAGAGAGAAAGAUCUAUAAGUUAAACUGUCUAUUGAGUCAGUGCUAAUAUUAACAGUGUUAUUUUUUUAUUAUUUGUAACAGUUAAAUUAUUUACUUUUUGCCAUAAACACUGUUCUGGUUCGUUAGUCUUUGUAAAUAGCCUAUUUCUUGGUUUACAGGCACUUGACAGCUACCCUGGCCCUUGGAUGGAGGAUUAGAUUGACUCAACAUUUGCUGAAGAACUACUUAAGAAAUAAUGCAUUUUACCAGGUUUGAUCAGCUCAGAAACAGUGAUGCCUGAAUACUUGGCAGGCAUUGCACUGAGUUAACAGUUUUCACCACUAUUACCUAGACUUCAGCAGUGCUAAAUUCACAUCAAAUGCAUCUUCUUGUAGGUCUUUCAAUUGUCGAGCAAAAAUAUUGAUGCAGAUCAAAGAAUUACUGAUGAUCUUGAAAAGUUAACAACUGAUUUAUCGGGGUUGGUUACCGGAAUGGUAAAGCCAUCUGUUGACAUUUUGUGGUGAGUAAAUUAUCUUCAUGUAUUAUAGUACCACUAUUGUUUUGGUCAAAUAUUUUAAUUCUAGAAUUAUAUGUUCCUUUAUUCCUCCCUUAUCUUUCUAAGAAUUAUUCUUAACAAUGCUGAAAAUUUUAAGGUUCACAUGGAGAAUGAAGCUAUUAACAGGAAGAAGGGGCGUUAGCAUUUUGUAUGCAUACAUGUUGCUUGGUCUGGGUUUGCUAAGGACUGCUACUCCUGAUUUUGGUGAUUUGACAAGUCGAGAACAACAACUUGAGGGAACCUUUAGGUAAUUCAAUCUCGGUUUAGAAUCCAUGCUGGUAAUACUAACUGCUAAGUAAUAACAAUGCUGCUGCACAUGGAAAUACUUGCACCGAAUAUCUAUAAUACAAAACUGAUGAUAGAAACUGGUGUUUUAAAUCGAGACUGCUCUGGUGGCCUGAACAGGAAGCUCAGGAACUGAGCUGGGUGGUACAACCCAAAAGUAUAAUCAGAAGAACCAUAAAACUUGGUUACUAGCUUGAAAGUAUUUAUUUUCACCCACUUUUCAUAAAUAUUACAGCCAUACAAUCAGGUUUUAGAACAAGUAAUGACCCAUGGAACUUCCUCUCUCUGAAAAAGAGGAGGAGAAAAAGUCAAAGGCUUUAAAAAGACAUUGUUUUUGACAGAAAUGACCAAAAAAAAAGAAACUCUCUGCUACUGUCUCCUCAACGGUUUGGAGAUAUGUAAUACAAAAAGACAUGUUCCCAUGGGUGCAUGCGAGUACUUUUAUGAAUAUCUUAAUGUUGCUGCAUACAUCAUUUUAAUAACUUAUACUAUAUGUUAAUUAGGUUCAUGCACGAAAGACUGCGGACUCAUGCUGAGUCUAUUGCUUUCUUUGGAGGCGGUGCUCGAGAAAAAGCUGUAAGAUACUUGAAUUUGUUGUUGUGUCCAAUGUAUUUAAAUACAAAAAUGUUGUUUCUAUCAUUGUUGACGCAUACAAAAAUUUCCUUGAGGAAAAAUAGACAGAAAUAGGGAGUAUAUUUAACCUUUCUAUGGGUUAGCAAUUGGAAAUUUAAAUACAUCCUUAUAUUUAUAUUGCACAACUAUGGUUUAAGGUUUACAUGCCUGGGCCGAACCCUACUGUAAUGAACUCCUUUUUGUUAUUUCCUAUAAAUUGCUGGUUUCGGAUAAGCUUGAAUUUUGCAUCAAGAUCUGUUUAAAAUAUCAAUUCUUGAUUAAACUAUCUACAAGUUGCAGGUUCCAUCUGUAAUUAGAAUAAGUUUGUACUAAUGUUUUUCCAGUGGCAGAUAUUGUUUGAUUAUUGUGGACCUUCUCUAUCGUUUUUCUAUCAUAUAAAAGGAAUGUUUUGCAGUGAAAUGACAGCACUUCAGGCUUUUUCUCGUUUUGUAGUGGGGGACAUGACUAAACGAUUUGUUUUAUGCAUAGAAUCCAUCUAUAGCUAUUUUUGCAUGGAUCAUGGUGCACUAUUUUUUCCCUUUUUGCAUGGUUUGCUGCUGUGCAUGCAGAUAUUACUAGAACUGUUUUCCCCAUAAUUUCCAUGCCCUCUCCCCUAAUUCUGUGCUUCUUGUACUAACAGAUGGUCGAGUCAAGAUUUAGGGAUCUUCUUGAUCACUCUUCAUUACUUUUAAAGAAGAAAUGGCAGUUCGGUAUACUUGACGAUUUUGUCACAAAACAAUUUCCACAUAUAGUUACCUGGGGUUUGAGCUUAUUAUAUACCUUAGAUCACAAGGGGGACCGAUCCUUAGUUUCUACUCAAAGUGAGAUUCCGACUCGAUUUUGUACUACUUUUUGUUUCUCUCCCUCCUCUCUCUGAAAUUUCUUCAAUUUUGUUUAGUUGAGCUUGGACAUGGAAUACGAUUCCUGGCAUCUGUUGUGUCUCAAAGCUUUUUAGCCUUUGGUGACAUCAUGGAGUUGAAUAGAAAGUUCCUGGAGCUAUCCGGAAGCAUCAACCGAGUUUUUGAGCUUGAAGAGCUUGUUGAUGCUGUUCAGUCUGGUAUAUCUCCUUUUUUUCUGAUAUAGAAAUUAGGGUCCUUGUUUGGUAAUGGAAUUUUUGCAUUGAUAAGUUGAUGUGUCAUCCAACCAGGGGACUUGAGGACUGAUAAGGUGUUACAGUCUCAUGGGAAUGAUCUCUAUGCUGGAGAUGUUAUUUCUUUUUGCGAUGUCGAUAUAGUUACUCCAUCAGAGAAGCUGUUGGCUAGGCAGUUGACAUGUGAUGUAGUACCUGGAAAAAAUCUGCUUGUUACUGGUCCGAACGGGAGCGGGAAAAGUUCCGUCUUCAGAGUACUUCGAGGUCUAUGGCCCGUUAUGAGUGGAAGGCUUUAUAAACCAUCACACCAUUUGGACAAAGAGGAUAUUUCCGGUUGUGGCGUCUUCUAUGUUCCUCAGAAACCAUAUACAUGCUUGGGAACUUUAAGGGAUCAAAUCAUAUAUCCGCUCUCUCAUGAAGAAGCAGAGCUGAAGGAAUUAAAGUUGUAUGGAAAAGGUAAACUUACUUUGCACAAGUUGCAUUGCUUUCCUUACCUUUUUUCUGUCAUCUACCGACACAAUUUUGGACUUAGUAUGGGCAUAUAACCCUUCAAGUACCCUCAAAAUACAUGGAAAAACUUGAAAAAAGAGCGAACGUAUUACCCGUGUUGGACAUUAACUCGUAUCUAAAAAUCAUACCAGAAUCUGAAGAACAUAGAUGUACCUGAACUCUUCAUUAAGAGUGACAUACCAGUUUAGAAAGCAUGGUAGAAUUACUUAUUAGAUUUAUGUAUGUUGUUGGGAAUUAUGAACAUACAAAAUUUCAGGUAAAAGCUCAGCUGACACCACAAACAUUCUCGAUGCACGUCUGCAAAACAUUCUCGAAAAUGUUCGAUUGAAUUAUCUUUUGGAAAGGGAUGAAAGUGGUUGGGAUGCUAAUCUCAGUUGGGAAGACAUCCUUUCACUUGGAGAACAGCAAAGAUUAGGCAUGGUAAGUUAAAACUAAACUUGUUGCACAUUCAACAACAUUUUUCACUAUUUAUACCAGACAGGAAAUCUAUUGUUUGAUAUCGAACUUUCUGUUUUAUCAGGCACGGUUAUUCUUCCACAAGCCUAAAUUCGGUAUCCUAGAUGAGUGCACAAAGUACGUAAAAAAUCCCUUUGUUUUCUGUUGAAAAGACACUGAUCAGUUAUCCAAUUUACCUUUUCCUUUCGUUCAUUGCAGUGCCACGAGCGUCGACGUUGAGGAACAACUUUAUAGACUGGCCAAACAUUUGGGCAUAACUGUUAUUACCUCAUCACAGGCAAGUACUUUCAUGCAACGGGCUAACGUCGAACAUGGUUAACUCAGUGGAUAUUAAAGUACUUUGGGAUGCUUGUCAUGAUUAACUGAUACAACACUUUCAAAUACAGACAUGACAACAAAGUUAGCAACAAACUGUUGCAUGUUUCAAUUGUCAUUUUCCCUAUGCAGUAAUAUUAUCUUGUUUUGCUAUUGUAUAUUUUUUUCAGCGGCCUGCUCUAAUACCAUUCCAUGCUUUGGAGUUGCGAUUUGUCGAUGGUGAGGGUAACUGGGAGCUUCGCUCGAUCGAGCAGUGAUUAACGUUCUGUUUGUGUGCUGUACGAUGUUUUGAACAAGAACUGGGGGAAACUCGAACCCGAAUUUGCAGUUUCAUUGAAUCGGUUAAGCGACUGGAUAAAUCUCUUUAUCAUGGUCAGAAGGAGGAGCAAGCCAAGGCCGGUGCCGGGUUCUGGUAAUAUCAUAAUUUUCCCCUGAAAAUUAUUUACUUUGUAUUGUAUACCACAGGCUGUCGUGUUGCUCAACGCAUGAGGUUGAGACAAAAGGAGAAGCAAAUUAGAUCAAAGAUUAUUGAAAAAGCAUAAAGAAAAUUUUCAUUUAAAGGUUUUUCAUUUUUCUACCCCUAUCUUUUUUUAACUUUUUAUUUUAAAACGAAAAUAGAUUCUCCACUAAUUUUUUUUAAUUAGUUAUGAUUGGAUCACUUCAGAACUUAGUAAUUUUAAUAAAUGUUAGUUUGUUAAAACGAUGAUUUUCGGUCUACAAAAUUCAAGAAAUGGGUUCGGGAGUUGGUUACGUAUGAGGAAGGAUUAACACCCUCAUAACGCCCAAAAUUAGUACCUAGUUGAUUACUUAAUAUUUUGGCGUCGAAUAUUGAGAAUCUAAAGAAAAUUUAAAAUGCGAUUCAUUUUUACAUGAUGUUAUUUAAUUAAAAUAUCGCUAACUGAAUUAAAACUUAUGUAAAAGGUCUUUUUAUCUCGAGGUAACCAAAACAAAAAGAUCAUGUCUCGCAAGUUAGGAAACAACAUCUCGAAUAAUUAUUUAAUUAUUAAUUAAACCUUAUGUGUUUUUAUUUUAAAAGGAUGUUCGAUUAUCUCGGUUCAAUAAGAAACUCGUACCCCGUAAGUUAGGGCAGGAUUUCUCAAAUUCCCUAAUUAAAGAACAUCAUCUUGGUUCUAAUUAUUUCUUAUGCGUAGAGUCAAAACGAAUAUAAUAUUUAAUGCGAUGUACAAUUAAUUUAUUUGGACGUUGUAUGAUUAUGUGCAAGCGUAAUAAAAUACUUAGCAAAAAUGGAAUUACUACAUAAGUACAAAUAAAAUAAUAUUAUAAAUAAAUAAUAAAGGAAUAAAAUAAUAGUAGCAAUGAUAAUGAUAGUACAAUAUUAAUAAUACAACUAUAAUGAUAAUAAUAAUAACAUUGAUCAAUGGUAAUAAUAAUAACAAUAAUAAUCAUAAUACCAUAUUUAAUAAUAAAAUAAACAUAAUAAUUCAAAAUAAAAAUAAAAGCUGCAUAAAUGAAAAGGAUAAAUGUGAAUGACAUAAAAGUAUCAGAAAUAAUAAAAUAAUGAUAAAAAAAUAUAAAAAAAAAGUAGGCAAAGGACUAAAUUGAAACCUAAAUGAAAUUCAAAGUAUAAAUUAAAAAAAAUAAAGGGUUAAAUCAAAACAUGCGAAAGAUGAAAGGGCUGAAUGGGGAAUUAUCCCAACCCCAUGUCAUUCCCUUAAGUCAACAGUGGGUCAAAGGACCAGAAUGUAAGAAAAUAAAAUAAAAGGGUAAAAAUGAAAUAAGUAAAAAGAAAUAUAGGAUGAAAUUAAAAAAGGAAAAAAAGCGGAAGGGUCUAGAAAGAAAAUUUCCCAACCCUUCAAAAAAUAGCGGAUCCUGGGACUAUUUGGGUCGGAUCUUCGGGUUAGCAUCAAAACGACGUUGUUUUGGGACUUCUGAAGCUAGGCCAAAACGACGUAGUUUCAUUAAACCUAUAAGUUAAAAAAAUAUUUUUAAAAAAAUAUUUUAAAACUUGUUUAAAAAAAAACAUUCUUCCUUUCUUCUUCUCUUUUUUUUUUUUCUCUCAAGACCCCUUCUCUUCAGUCACGGGGUCGGUGAGUCUACGCCAUGGCCACCAGUCAUCAGUGUCGGUGACCGCCGCCGCCAGUGGCCGAAAAAUUGAAAAAGUUCCCCCCAAACUCCUUUUCUUGCGUAGAUCGUGGAUCUGGUGAUAGAUCCUCUGAAAACCCAGUCAAAGUUCUAUUAGAAGCUGAGAGACCUUUCGGUUUAUCUUCUCUGAUGUGGUCGUCAACGAACCCUAAUGGGUUCGAAGACCUUUCAGAGCGAAGGAAGGCCUCCCAGUGGCAAUGAAUGGGUAAGAUUUAAAAUUUUAUUUUAUUUUCUUAUAUUUUUCGAAAUAAAAAGUAAAAAAAAAAAGAUGAACAAACUUAAGUUUUUUCUUAACUUAGUUUUUUUUCUUUUUGUAUUCAAUUUUUUUCUUCUUUUCCAAUCCCAUUACAAACGUUUUUCUUUCGACUUUUAUAACCGAAAUAUACUACAUUAUGUUACUGAUAACUGAAAUAUACUACAUUAUAUACUAUUUUUUUUGUUUUUCUGUUCUACUAUUCUCUGCUUCUGUGUCUCUAUUUUUGUUUUUUUUUUCUCUUUUUUGCAGGUACCCAUGGUGGUUAACGACGAUUGGAAGCAACAUUUUUCCAUUUCAGUGAAAUGGUGGCAGAGGAGGCGUGGGGACUUCGGGAGACAUGCUUGUUGACGCGACAAAGGCGGCGACUGGAAGGGCUAAAGGGAAAUUAGGGUUCCUGAUGUGUUUAGGAUAGUGGACUUUGGGCUUAGGUUUUUUUAGAUUUUAGGGUUUGCAAAUGGAUUUGACCAUUGGGCUUGUAAUUUGAACUAUUAAUGAACUUUUAUUUUUUUGUUUUAUUUGUUUGGGCCGGACAAAAUUGGGCUUAUACAAUACUGAUGAAACAAUUGUUUCAUACAUAAUGAUGAAUACGAAGAAAUUACCUAGAGCAAGGGUGAGUAAAAUUCGAUUCGAUUCGAAAAAUUUGAUAAAAAAUUAAAUUUUGAAUUAAAUAGUUCGAGUUAAUUGAGUUAUGCGGAUCAACUUGAAUAAAAAAUCAAAAUUUUUGGUUUAACUCGAAUAUGAAUUACACAAUUUGAGUUAUUCGAAAAUCCGGAUAAGAAAAGGUAAAACUGAGUCAUUUUGAUAAAUGUUUAGCCAAGUUAAAAGGCAAAAUCAUUAUAUUAUUUAUAUAAUUAAAUAGUCUUGUAUUUUGUCUACUAGUUAAAUAAUCGGUCAACAUAAAUGUAACGUUGAGUAUAAAUAAUAGGAUUUGUUAACUCGACUCAAAAUUUUUUUGACUCGAGUCGAUUCAAUUUGAGUUUGGUUGCUAAAAUAUGAUUUGUCAACUCGACUAACUCGAAAUUUUUUGAUUUGACUCGAUCGAAUGCUCACCCUUAUGUUAGAGUUUAAAUAUAUUUUUUUAAAAAUUUAAUCUUUACAUAUGUUUAAAUAAUUAUUUUUUCUGGAUUUUUAUACAUUGAUUCUUUUAUAAUUUUUAAAAUUAUAUAUAUUUUUACAAAAAAAGAAAAGAAAAUAAAGGAAAACCAUAUUAAAUUCCUUGUGGUUUUAUUUAAUUUUUUUAUUCGUAAGCAUUCGGAAAUAGACUUUUCCAAUGAUGGAACUUUCUGUCUAAAUGUUGGACAUAAAUUUUAUAAAUUUGGACAGCCUCAACUAAAACUUAUAUUUAAAUAAAUAUUUUUUAAAAUUUUAUAUUAUUUUAAAAAUAGGAAACAACCCUUUGGGUUCGGGCCAAUCCACAGUUUUCUCUUCAUAAUCAACUUUUGAGAGGAAAUAAAAAAAUAUAAUGCUAAAUUUAGCUAAUAUUUAUCUCAUUUAUUAUUUUAGUUUUAAUUUUAAUUUUUUUUUCAGUGAAAAUUUUAAUGAUACAAACAUAGUAAAAUUUCAAAACAAAAUUAAAAAAAUUAUAUUUUAAAAAAAUUUAUCUAUAUUAAUAAUGAAGGACACAUAAACUACUAUGUUAUACUAAUUAAAUGUUAACAAUUUAAUCUAUUUUCUGCCCAAAACAAAGUCAUUUAAGUAAAUUUUGAAGUUAAAAAAUGAUUCAAAAGAAGAUUAGAGUUAAAAUGUGGCAAAUUGGUGAUUAUCCCAAUAGAAAAACCUUAAAUCAGGAUCCAAUUCAUGACACUAGAGAAGGACGUGUCAACUGUUUAACAGCUGACAAAAAAAUGUAACAGGAUGAGCACUAAACUUUCUUUAUUCCUUUAAACGUACUCUUUUUUUCUUUCCCUAUUCUUUUGGUAGGAAAGAUUAAAAAAGAAAAAACUGGGUUUGUAGUUUCUUCAUAAAGAUAGGUAUUGAAUUAUUAAAUCAUGGUUUUGUAGUUGAAUUUGGUGUAUUGGGCAAUUUGGUAGAACCCAACAGAAGAAUGUUUUUUUCCCCUUUUUUUGAGAAUUAAGGAUGAAAUAUAGGAUCAUCAGACACCUCUGAAAUCAACAAAAAAAAAAGUUGGAACUUGUGUAAAAAUCUCAUCUUUGUGCAAUAUUGGAUAGAAGAAAAGGGAGGAAAAAUGGGAAAGAAAAGGUCUUUGAAGAGCAAAGCUGUGCACUUUGUAACUGAUCUUACCACCGGACUUCUUAACCCCAUCUCUGAUAAAUCAUCUAAGCCUCCUGUAAGUGCCUCUCUCCCUUUGCUUUAUCUCUAUAUAUCUUGUACAGGCUUCCCCCUUUUUUUUUUUGGUUGUUGUAUGAAUGUUUAUGAUGAUGAUGGUGUUGACAUGCUCUAUUGUUUGGUCAACACCCUGGAUAAAGGGGCUUUUCUUAUAGUUGUUUUGAUUGCUUUGAAUGUUCAUGCUGUAAGGUAUUUGAUUGAGUUUCUUAAGGUCUCAUCUUUUUCUGGUAUUAGAAUUUAUUAGAUUGCUUGUUAAAAUUCUUUGUCUGAACUUUAGAUUGUAGGCUUGGUGUUGUGAAUUUGUAAUUUUGAACCUUUUCUGCAAUGAAAAGAACAUGGUUACCAAUCCCAACCUAUGUUGAAAGCCUGCAAUCAGUGUUUCAAGUUUUUAACUCUAUAUGUUUUUCUAUUUAUGGUAGGAAACUUUGAGUGAGCCAAAAAUAAGUCAAGUAGAGUCAAUUAACAAAGAGGAUGAUAGGGGGGAUCUUGUUGAUGGCCCCGAUACGUCUUCCUUUACCGCAUUCCUCUAUUCGUUAUUGUCUUCUUCGGAAUCAGGUCACAAUGUGAACCUUGAUGAGGAAGAUGAUAGAGAGGAAACUGGUGAUGGAUCCGACACAAAAACGAAAGAGAAUGGUGUAAGGAAAAGCUUACUUUCUAAAGGUAAGCAAUCACUUAGAGCUCUUUACCAAGCUACUAGGAUAAUUGGAUACCGAAAUCAAGACAACAAGGGCGAUUCUGCCAAGAAAAGUGAUGAUGAUGAUGAUGAUGAUGAUGAUGAUGAUAAGGGUGGUACUAAAUUCGACGGACUUGAGAUGAGACAUAUGCAAAAUGUCGAGGAACCUUUGGAUUCUGAAGAUCUUCCAGAAACUUCUGAACCAUCAUUGCUUCUUACGGAGAAAACAAGAAAUGCCCUUUAUGGAUCACUUCCGGCCCUUGUUCAAGGGAGAAAGUGGUUAUUGCUCUACAGGUGAAAUUUCAUUGCUUUUCAGUUCAGUGGACCGAAUUUGGUCUUUCUUAGGAUGUAUAGUUUCAUGUAUUUCAAGAAACAGUUUAUUGUCCGUUCCUUGAUAAAUCUCUGCCGGCCUUUGCAGUACAUGGAGGCACGGUAUAUCACUGUCAACAUUGUAUAGAAGAAGCGUGCUCUGGCCCGGCCUCAGUUUACUGGUAAUGUUUAACUUUAUAGCAUUAUUGUUCUUGUUGAUGAUGCAUGUUGUUCCGGUUAGAUCAAUGGGCUGAUGCCAUUUAUUUUCUUGCAGGUUGUUGGAGACCGUAAAGGUGCAGUGUUUGGUGGCCUGGUUGAGGCGCCCCUAAAACCGACUAAUAAGAAAUAUCAGGUGAUGCUGAAAAGAAAACACUUAUUGUCUCCAGCUAGUAUUUCUUAUAAGUAGUUUGUUGAAGUUGAAUUUACAUUUUGAACAGGGAACAAAUAAUACCUUCGUUUUCACAAAUGGACCUGGUGGCCCGGUUAUAUACCGUCCAACAGGUAUUCCCAUCUUUGUAUACCAUUUUGAAAUUGUUACUAUCGCACGAAGAUCAUGUGUAUGUGUGUGUCUGUGUUGGAAUGUAGUAUACUGACAGCUGAAAAAUGACAUGGAACUCGAGCAUGCUGACCUAAUUGCUGGUAUUUAGAACAGUUUCUCUCUGAGUAAACUUGGUAGAUCUAAUUGUGAACAUUGAACAGGUGCGAAUCGAUAUUUCACUCUCUGUUCCACAGAAUUUCUAGCAAUAGGUGGUGGCGGCCAUUUUGCGCUUUAUCUAGAUGGUGAACUGUGAGUUAUCUGUCCCCUUGGGUUCUUUUAUAUAAAAUGUGAUGCUGAUAAACUAGUCAAUGAAACACUGCGUUCUGAUAGAUUAAGAUAUUUUUUUUAUGUAAUUAGUUUGAAUGGAUCUAGCUCGUUCUCCGAAACCUACAGAAAUCCCUGUCUUGCGUCCAGUAAAGACUUUGAAGUAAAGGAGGUUGAGGUAUGCACGACGUACUUCCGUCUCUCUCUCUUGCUCUGUUCCGCACCAAUGUCACUGUUCCAUUUGCUACGUGUAUUCGUAUUUGACUUCUUUGUAAUUCAUUCAUUUGUAUCGUAGUUGUGGGGCUUCGUACACGGAUCAAAAUACGAGGAAAUACUUGCUUCAAGCAGAAUAGAGAUGCCUGGAAUUUGCCGCUGGUAAAAAACUUCACACCGGCUGCUGGUUCUCAUGACGGUUUUUGUUCGGUACGAUCUUCUUUUGCUGUUUGCCGACUCAAUUAACGACCCGAAAGCGAAUAUUUCAUUCAAUUGUACAUGUCAUCAUACAUACUUGCCCACCCUUGUACAUACAAGUGCUUAUGCAUAUACUUCGUAAUUUUUUCUUUUUUGUUCACAAGCUAAAUGUUACUUGCAAUAUAUGGACUAUAGGCAUUAUAUUUCGAGAUAUACGAGCAUUAGAAUGUUUUAACUUCACAAGUGAGGUUAAAAGAAACUUUUCGAUGUCCCUUUUUUUAUUUAUUCCAUUUAUGAGUUGAUUGUAGAACAAAUUUUUAGUGUUAUAUUUUCCGAUUUAGAGAGUGAUAAUCACAUGAUAAUGCACUUUGAUUCCAUAGGUUAUAUUAAAAUUUAAUUUUCAUAAUCAUUUGCAUACAAGCAUUCUUCAAUGAGUAUGAUUUAUAAAUUUAUCCACUCAGUUUCCCACAACAAAGAUAGAUAGAAGAAUUCAUGGGUCAAGUCGGCUUUAGGCUAGCGCAUAAAUGAUAUUUAUUAGCCUGUGUAGUUAAAUAAUCUCAGCCUAAAAUAUGUUUUAAAUUUUGCUAAAGUUCAUCGUAUUUGUAAAUGGUUAACAUAAACUUAUUUAAAUAUGUUUAUAUGUUUUUUUAGUUUUAUUUUUAAAAUUUUUUUUAUUCAAAUGAACAUAUUUUUAAUACUUACCAUAUAACACUGUAUAUUGAACUUUUAUACUAUAUAAAAUAAUAAAAUACAUAAUGCAUAAAAAAAAUAAAAAUAAUUAUAAAUUUGAAAAAGGGGCAGAGGUUUGAAUAUUAAAAAUCGAAUCUAACUCGUAUUUCAAACACGAGUUUAAUUUUUUUUUGUCUAAACUCAUUUUUUUCUAAUAUUUUUACUCAAAUUUUAUCAAUAACGAACGUUCGGGCUUGUGUUUGUAACCAAGAAGAGCUCAAAUACGUGUGUUAGCACCAAUAUAAUGGCCAGUGCUUACCAAUUUACAAGCUGAAGUUUUCUCAAUGGCCCGUUAAUAUUUAACAUAAUUUCUAGAUUAGCCCAAGAUAAAGCUGCUAGAUAAAAAUGAAGAAUAGAACUUCUAGCCAUAAUUUACGGAGUUUUCUUAAAUUUAAAAUUUAACUUUUGUAUUUUUAUUUUUAGAAAUUUAGUUUUUUUACUUUUUUAGAUUUCAAAAUGAUGUUCUAAUGAAGGUGAAUUUAACAAAAUAAUUUCUAGAAAUUAAAAUACAGAGAUUAAAUUCCAAAUUUAUGAAAACUAGAAGGACUAGUGACAGAUUUUAACCAAAAAUGAAAGUAGAGUAAGCACUGGCACUGGUUUCUUUCUGCAGAAACCUUACAAAAACCCACUUCAGUUACCAUUCUCUCUCUGAGCUCCACCAGGGAAAAGAAAAGAACCCAGGGUUGCCUGAAGAAGGGAAAGGUAGAAAAUGGGUUGUAGAUUAGGAAGACGAGUUGUAAACUUGGCGAGCCUUGCAAUCAAGCUAUUGAUGCCAAACACUUUGGCCAACAUCAAAGAAAUAGCUCUCAUAACCAUCCCAUCGGCAUCCAAGAUAGAGAUUAAACGCCUCCUCCAGUCCCUCUACGGUAUCGAUGUCGGCAAAGUCCCUACUCUCAACAUGGUUGGUAGGUUCUUAAUAAGAGUUUUAAUGGGAGGUGUCCAUGAUUAAGUUCCUUUUUGUAUUUCAUUGAAGUAUUAUGGUUUUUCUUCUUUUUAAUUGAUAGAGCAUAACCAGUAUUGUGGUUUUUGCAAAAGGGUUGAGUGUUAUUGAAUUGAUGAACUUGCUUUGGAGUUUGGCAUGAUUGUUGAUCAAAUUUCUAUGAAUGGUCCGAUGCCUUGUUGAGAAAUCCAAUGCCUUUAAGUAUGUUUGCUUUGGAUUAAUAAAAGCUGAACAAUGCCUUUAUGAAUAUUUGCUUUGGUCUAAUAACAGAUUAUCCAUUAAGAUUUACAUGACUGAGAUCACAGUUCCUUUUCCAUUAUGAACAUGUUCCUUGCAUCCUUCAUUUAGAAGAAAGAGAUGCAGUGAUACUUUAAGAUAAGGUAUUUAUGAUGAUAACAUGCAUUGUAACCUUGUGUAAUAAGCUAGUCAAAGAUGGAAAAAUAAGCAAAUAAUGUUGUUGAGGCUAUUGCUUGGUUUGAGCUGCUUGAGCAUUUGCAUCAUAAGAUGCUUACUGUGAAUGAGCUUACGACACCGAUCGCCUGCGUCUAAAGCUGAGUCUAAACCAGGUUUAUUUUGCCUUUGCUGUCCAUCUCCAUUGUCAUCACUUUCUGCCACCACAUGUAAAGAGUUCUUAAUCUUCCUCCAGUUCAAAAUCCAAGGUGAUGCAUUCUUGUGCUUGCUUGUUAUCUUCUCAUACUCUUGCUGAAGGUCAGAGUAGUCAUUUUGUAGUUCUGCCAUCUUUGUCUUCACAUUCUCGAGUUCUGAUUUGAGGUUCUUUAUCUCUGUGUUUGUGGAUGGUCGGGGUUCCUCUUGUUCAGAAUUAUCAGCUAUUAUUGAUGAUUCCUUACCUUGCAUUGCCAUCCUCAUCUUUGCUUGCUCUGAAAAUAAAACCUGCAUGUAUUAAGUACAUGGACCUUGUUAGCUUUCCCUAGUGAGCUUAUCUACUAUCAGAGAGUCAGAAUAUCAAUAGCUUUCCCUUGACUGCACCUUCUCUUCAUUCUGAUGGCAUUUUAUUUCAAUAUUAUAUUAUUAGAUGCAUGUAAUCAAGAUAAGUUCUUUGGAUUCACUAGGUAGUUUAAAGCUUGGAAACAUCUAAACAUUACCUUCUGGUGUCCAUAAUUGUCCUUUUGACCCUGUUUUUCCUUCUUCUCCAAUGAAUAUAUUUUAUUUUUCUGGUUUUAAGUGAUCUGUGAUUGAUUUAUCUAUUAGUUUUUGCUCAUAUAGUUUACUUGAACUUUUCCUGCUAUGAAUGUGCACUGUAUCGGAUUGUCUCUAGGUGUUUUCACUAGAUGAUAUGCUUAUCAAUGAAAAGUAGUUAUAUAGAUGUUUGCCUAAUGCUGACAACCUCUGUCUAUACUAUACUUUUCUGCUUAAUGCCACAAUCUUGUUUUGCUUUAGAAUCAUGAAUUGGUAGUUUUGUGUAAUUAAGAAUUGGCUCAUUGAGCUUGACAGCUGAUACAGUACAAACUGUCAUGGGAAAUACUGAUGCAAUUAAAGAUUUUAAAUAUGAAGUUCUGAAUUAAGUUACCUGGACAACAAUUCUUAGGGGCAGCCGAUCAUUUUGUGCAGCAUGCAUGCAUGCAUCAAAUGAUAGUUUUUCACAGUUCAUUAUUUUGCACAAUCUUCUGCGGUCAUGCUCAGAUAAUGAAGGAUGAGUCUGAAAAGGAUAUCGAGUUUAAAUAUUAAGAUCAAAUGUCAACAAGUGAUAUAAAAGGAAUAAGAGGCUUAGCAAGUAACCUUUAGAUAGAUAUCAAUGGCUCUAUAGAGACCGUCAUCACAUGAUCGAGCAUUUUCUGGCAAGGAUUCAGCAAGAGCUUGAAAUUUUGUGAUGGAAAGGUUUGGAUCCCUUGCUAUUUCAGCCAAGUAAUUGUCCAAUAGCUUACUAACAGUUGUUUUCCCUAUCUUUUGUUGCUGUUGUUGUUCAUGCAUCAGGAAAUAGUCCAAAAUCCUUUGCACCACAUCUAUGUUGUGCAUCGUUCGCUGCUCAGGUGAACUGUUGAAGAAGGUAUAUAUGAGUUGGAGUAUAAAGCAGUCUUAUUGCAUGGUUAUGAAAGGAAUUCUCCUCUGGAGAGUUUCAUUAGCUUGCUAAAUUGUAUAAUCUAUGAAUGAGGUAGAUGGUAGAAUACUCACUUUAGCAUUAGUCCUUGAUCUUCAUCCUUAUAAUUAGGAAUCAGUAGAUCGUUUGCAUUGGCAUCUUCCAGCAUCAAUCCGAUUCUCUUUUCUAGAUCUGUUAUAAGAGCUGGAGAUGCUGAAUACACCAUGGCUGUUUUUAACAUCUGCAACAAGAACUUACAUGAAACAGCUCCAUUUUGAGAAGGAAGCAUGCUUACUAGGCUUUCGAUAAUCGUUCUUUGUUCCUUGUUUUGUCCUGCACUCUCUUCUUCAUUCCUUCUCAAAACACUGAAUUGCAACUCACUCUUUCCAAAUCCAUAUCCUCUCAGUCCUUCCAGUCCCUCAUCCAUGUCUGGCAGCCACUUACCUGCAUAAUGCAUUAUGCAUUUCCCUAUGAUCUCUGCUUUUGUUCCUUUUGCUUUAAUUGCUGUUGUAAUCCUCAUGAAAUGAUCAAUGCGAAGGGUAGCCACGUCGUCAAGCCACCAGCUUUCUUCACUAACUAUUUCUCCAGUUGAUGAAUUCUCUCUCGAGGCCUUAUAAGCUAUUGAGUCGCAACAUCUUCUGACAAUCUGAAGGUUUUCUGCCCAUGGAGACAGGGUUUCACAAGAUUUGAGGACUGUAAUAGUGUCUUUCCAGGAAGCCAGGACUACAAACGUUAGAAAAGCUUCUGCCUUGGUUAUGAGAUUUCCAUCUUCAAAUUCUUCUGUCAUCUCUAGAUAUUCAGAUGCACAUCUAAGUGCUGCUAUAUUAUUCGGGUUCAAGUCUGCUGGGAGACCGUAACAAAAUUGUAGAAUCAUCUCGAAUGUAUCUGGUCCACCUGGAAAUUUCUCAAGCUUGAGAUCAUGCCUGAAUUUUGAGAUUGAAGGCUGAAGUUCCAGCUGUCUGAUGUAGCCACAUUUUGAUACCAAGGGAUACUGUUUCAGGAGAAACACAUGAGAGCUAUUAGUUAGAUACCAUGGUUGGUUUUCUAUCUUUUUAUUCAUUAAUUUUCAAGUUGGUAAGAUUUUUAUGUUAAUUGAUAUGAGUACAUCGAAAGAGUAACUGGUUUCUUUCAUCUUCCAACUUGGUCAGAGAAUAUUCAGAGUUUUGUUCUCUAGGAAAAAGUUUGAAUCGUAGAAAUCUGAAAUUGUGAUUAAUCAGGGUUGAAAGACAAAUUUUUUAUUUUCCAAUGUUCUAUACUGUGUGUAUACAUAUAUAUAUAUCACAUCAUAUCACAAGGGACUUGGAAUGUCCUACAGUUGCCUUACUCUAUGUUUUAUCUAUUUGUUCUUAUUUAAUGUUCUUGAUUAUUGCAGUUUAGUUUCGCUAAAGAAGGGUUCGAGUAAAGAAGGAAAACAAUAAAAAGAAAGGGUCCUAACUCCUAAUGAUUAUGCACGUCACUCGGAUGCCACACAAGAUCAUUUUUAUGUUUGCAGGUUACCUUGUGAACAUUAAAGAUGACAUCCUGAACUUGGAUUGCUAAAUCUGUAGGGAUUUGAGUUGUGGCAAACCUGCAUUCGCUCAAAAAAGAAACGAACCGCGUGAGCUACGGAGAUAAUAUACUCUGUAUGCAUCUAAACGUUUUUAUUGAUUACACAGCAAUUAUUAGUUGGAAAUUAUAGUGUUCUGGAAUGAAGUUUUGAGAGCUUGAAUAGCAAGGAAUACAUGUUUUUUUUUACCAUGAGAGUUCUUUCCUUUCAAAGCUAUCAGCUGCGAGGAUGAGCUUAUUUGGAACGACGAUGCUUUGGUCAUAGGGUUGAUGAUCGGUGCCAUCGGCGUCACUUCCAACAGGACUUUGAGGGUGAGGCAAUUGAAGAGAUUUCAUGGUAAUGUGCUCUUCCUGCAAUGGUAAUAAUUGGCUUGUUGAGUAACUUGGUACUGUAUAAAUGGAUGAAGAACACAUGAAACAAAAGUAGGGUGCAGUUUGAGUAAAUGUGAGGAGCAAGUCUGUGGCUAGAAGGGACAUGUAAGGUCAAUUUGGUUGGUGGUGGGCUCUGCUCAUUUCACUGGUUUUUUUUAAAAUAAGUAUAGGAACUGUUGUAAGGAAAAAGAUGGAGAUGGAUCAAGGUUUGAUGUAUUAUAAUUGAAGGGAAUGUUAUGAUUUGUCAAUUUUUGAACCACAUUUAUGCUUUAGGUCGUAUUAUUAAACGGUGAUUGUGUGGCUGACUGGACACAGACACACUGUUGUCCCACAUUUAUUAUACUAGUUUCAGUCCAUAUCCUCCAUCCUGCAAUGAUAUCGGUGAAUGUACUAUUUUAGGGUUGAUAUUAAUAUGUUGUCUUGAGUUUUUAAAUGUUUUCAUAUAUAUAUAUAAAAAUGAUUAUUAUAUCUAUCGUUUUAUUUUUAGUUUCUUGAUAAAUUAUAUAUAUUUAAAUAUUUUUCAAAUAUAUUUAUAGUCUAAUGUUUUAAUUUUUUAUUUUUUAUAAAAAUAAAUUAUAUAUCAUAUACACACGCAAGCAUUCAUAUAAAUAACAAUUUAAUUUAAUAGUUUUUAAUUUUUAAUAUAAUUAUAGAAAAAUUAAAAUGACUAAGAUAAAAAAAUCAAAAAUUAAUUUAGAAUAUUAACAUUUGGUGCUAAUCGGUAUAAAUCGAUAUUGAUUAAAAUGGGUCGAAAUACAUUGAAUAACCAGAAGGCACCGAAAUUUUAACUAAAAUAAAACAUAGAUUACUUGAUAUUGAUUUAGGACUGAAGCAGUAUGGUACCGAUUAUCAUAGUCAAAUCUGCUUCAAAAUAUGGUAAAUCUUUCCAAUGUUCCUAAUUUCUGAUGUUAAAAUUUUAUUUAUGUAUAUGCUGAUUUAAAAAAAAAAUCAAAUAUUCAUUAUUUAUAGUAAGAGAUUACAUUAUGGUUUUUGCUUGGUUUUUAGGCUGCUCAUUUUUUUUCUCAUUUGGGUUUUUUGUUGGAAAGCAAAUGAGUUCCAAAGAAGCCAUUUAUUUAAUUUAAAAAUUAGAUAAUAUUUCUUAUAUACUCUGAUCCUAGAAAAGGAUAUAAUAUUUUAAUUUCACCAUUUAUUUAAAUAUUUAAAUGGAUACUAAUAUAAGAAUGAAUAAUAAUAUUUUAAUUUAGCCAAUAACCUUUUAAUUUAGUGGUAAAAAUAUUUAUAUUGUUAGAUGAACCCGUUUAUCAAAAAAUAAUAAAAAGUGGAACAUUUAAUAAAUCCAAUGAUCCAGUAUGAUUACUAUGUUACUUAGAUUUAUAAUUUUAACAUUUGUGUAUUUUCACAAUUAUGUUAAUGUUUAAUCAACUCAUGACAUUUGUAUGUUAUGUAUGGUAUAAAUAUAAUUAGAUUUUUUUUGAGAAUAGUUUUUUUUUUACCUUUUAUAUUAUUAGAAUCUUAAAUUUUGUAUUAACCCGUAAAAAAAUGUAUUAACCUAUUUGGGGAACAAUAUUUUUUUCAUAUAAAAUUGAGCUCGGGGUGCAGCAAGAUGAGCAUAGUACAUAGGGGAACUGCACACAUUUAUUAAUUUCAAGGUUGUUAAUCACUAAAAGAUACACCCAAAAAAAAAAGGGAAGGAGUUGAAAAUUGGUUACAAAAAUCAAACAUGCAUUUCUAUUUGGAUGACUAGAACUUACCGAUCAACACUGAACGGGUGUACCUUGCAUAUCUGCAAAAGAUUAAAAGGUACACCUGUUCAGUGUCGAUCGGUAAUAACAUCUAGACUUGACAGAGGAAUUCUUCAAGAUGCAUAAGUUCUCAUUAGUCAUUAUCACUAUUAUAAAGGAAGGGAAAAAUGUAAUCACAUAGUUAACUAACCUUCCUCCCAAGCUAUACUAUUCAGUGCUCUCAAAAGCCAUGGCUUAGAUCUUUUAGCUUCUUUGUCCCAACAUCUAUGGAAUCUGUAAAGGUAGAAAUCGCUAUUUUUGAGUGAUUGUAUGCAUUAUCAUGUGGAAGCAAAUGCAAGGGAAGUAGCAUAAUGCUAACUUAUGAAUCAGCAUUUUGGUCUGAUCCCAUGUAUCCAGCUUCCAAACAUCCUUUUCAGUGAUAGGUCUUUUGUAACCUUGUUUCAUUAGCGGAGUAAUCCAUCCGAAAAAAAUUCUUGUCAUAGCAUAUAGUUGAAAACUUUGAACUAGAUAUUUGUUAGAUGGUGAUAAUGAUGAGGAGUUGCAAGCUGCUAAAUAGAAAUUGGCUUCUAAGGCAAACAUGUAAGAGUUAGUCAAGAUAGUGAUUGUAAUCUAGAGGGAAUUGAAAGUGAACCUGAAAUUGAAGUUUUAAAGAAUGUCAUGGGACACAACUCAAAGUCUGUGAUCAAAGCACAAAAAAUGUUCCAUGUAGGUCAAUAUAUUAAACGAGGCUCAUUUGAUUCACUUGAACUAGCUUGAUUCGCCAAACAUGUAGAAAAGUCUGUCUACUUGAAGCAUUGGUGGUCCGAUGAAAGCACUUAUCGAAAAUUAGGGCUACCUUGGUAAAUACGAAAAAUAAUCUUAGAAGAUUUGUAAUAUGAUAAAAUUUGAUUUUGUAAUAUUAGGGAUUAUGUAAAUCCCUUAAUUGUUGAUAGACUUCGAUCUCAUCCGUCAAUGUGAAGCUAGCUAUAUUGUUGGAUUUGAGGGAACUCAACUAUAAAUAGAGGGUCUCCCCUUAUUUAUAAUUAUUCAUUGUAUCCUAUCCUUUGAGUUAAAAAAAAUAUACUGAGAAUAUUUACUCAAACAACUUGCGGGCGUUGCUUUUUUGUGGCUAUUCUGUUCUUUCAAACUUUCUUUUGUCUUUGAGUUGUUUUUACUUUAUUUUUUGUGCCUUAAGAGAAUUUCUAUUUAGAAUUCUUUGAAACGAAGAAAUCACUAAGGUCGCACGGAUUGCGAGACUAAAGUUCUAGUCCCGUGAUAGGAAAUUCUUAAGCUCAGUUUGAUUUUUGGAAAUAUUUUAUGUUUUUAUUUUUUUUCAAAAAUAGUUUUUAUUUUCUAUCUUUUAGAAAUUAAAAAACAAAUUUAAUAAAUAAAAAUUUGUUUCCAAUAAUGAAAAUAUGAAAAAUGUGUUUGAUGCACUAUUCUUUUUAUAAUAAAAGCAUGAGAAAUAAAAUAAAAAUUACUAUAUUUAUGUGUACUCAAACUAGGAUAAGAGAUUUUGAUAUUCAAAAAUGGUUGAAAGGAUGGGUUUAAGCUAGGGUUAAUGCAUUCAUUCCAUUUAAAGUUAAAAAGAAAAUAUUGUUUUCAACUUUUUCCUAUUUUAUAAAACAUCCUUAAAUCGAGACAUAAUAGAUGUCACUCACUCGUGAAAUAGAAUCACAUAUAUAAGACUGACACUAAAUAACAAUAUUGGAUUAAGUCAAAACAUUUAACAUAAAAAUUAUAGUCACAAUUUCAUAAAAAAGUAUAAAUUUGUGUUGAAAAUAAGCUUCUAGGUAGAAAUUUAAGAAACUUUAAAAAUACAACUUAAACAUUAACAGAGGCCAUGAAUUUAACGAGUGAGAGUGAGUGAUUUUAACUACCUUUUAGUUGAGUUAAACAAAGUACAAAAAUAUUUAUUUUAAAUAUUUUAUUGAAAAUACGUAAUCGAAAAUUUUGGAAGUAUUUUGUGAUAACAUAAUUCCUAAAUAUACUAAUGGAUAAAAAUCAACUCUUUCUUUUUUUAUCGCUAUGGUCACCCUUAAUCCUAGUGACAAAGAUCAAAAAUCACAAUUAGCCCCAAUGGCAAUUGGUCGGAACAAAAACCACAAUUAACCCAGUGACAUUGUGUCAGAACAAAAAUCACAAAUCAACCCCAGUAACAUUGAGUCAAAACAAAAAUCACAAAUCAACCUAGUAGCACUAAGUCAAAAACCACUAUUCUAAAUCGGUGACACGAUUAAAAUAGGUUUCUAAACAAAAAAUACAUGUUGAUAUGGCCAAUGUUACCCUCAUUGAUAGGGUUGGGUUGGAACAUAGCAUACCAAGAGUAAAUUUAAAAUCAUAAAAACUUGAUAGCUUUUUACAAAAUAUAAAAACUUGAUUACAUAAAACAUGAAUAGAUGCAUACUUUUUUACACUAUAUGCCAAAAUUAUAAUUGAAUACCAUAUAUAUAUAUAUAUACAAAAAUUGAAAUGUAGUAACAUAUUUUUCAAAAUUAAUCAAAUAAUCUAAUUUAAGUAGAGAAAAUAUAAAACUUAAAUAUUUCAAAAUUAUACAUUCUAUAAAUUUAAAACUAUGCCAGCAUGUUUUACUCGAUUUUCGUAGAACAUGGACAAAAUCUCAUAUAUUGCAUAAAUAACAUAGCCGGUUUUUUUGGAAAUUAAACAUGAAAAUCACUUAUUUGAUCUAUUAAACUGACAGGUAAGCAACGAUUUUCACAAAUAUCUUAGUAGCCUAAAAUUUAAGAAUAAAACUUGAAAGUUCAGAAUUCGAUCAAAAAAUUAAAGGCUUAAAAAGGUAUGAUCUUUCGUAAUAAUCUUAAGAAAUUCGGUUCUGUGGCAAUUCCUCUAACAAAAUUGUACAAUUUAAUAAAACUAUCUUUUAUCUCAAAAUUAAGUAAAUUAAAUUUAAUAAAAUACAUACAAAUUAUAAGAAAAUAUAAUAAAUUAAUAAAAAUCAGUUUAGAAUAAUUUCUAACCAAAUAAUAUGUAUUCAUAUUGAAAAUAUUUUUAAAAACAAUUAAAAAUUGAAAUUUCAGAAAUUCUGAACAUAAUGGUCGUUUGGCUUAGCCAUUCAAACUCAACAUUUACUUGGUAUUCCAGAGAUGUAAAAACAUGAGUUUAAAGAAUAAAUGUAAUCCUAAAAUUUAGAAAUAUGUUUCAUCAAAUCGGUUACCAAAAACUUACAGUGCUACUAAAUGAGUUUUUUUUUUAUUUUAAAAUAUCAUACCCAUAAAUUUAACCAAAAAAAGUUAACAAUUUUAACAAUUGAACUUGAAUUUUAAAAUCUAAAAAGUAAAUAUAUUAAAUUUCUGAAAAUAAAAAUAAAAAAAAGACUAAAUUCUGAAAUUAUGAAAAGGACAGGGACCUAUGAUAUAUAUUAACUUUAAAUAUUUAUAUAAAUAAAAUAAUAUUGUGACAAAAAAAUGUGCCAAAACUUCCAUCAACAAGCUUUUUAACUCUAUCUUCGUCUUUCCUUUAACUUUUGAACCCUAAACUCAUUUGUCUCUGUAAUAGGCCAAUUUUGGCCUGGCUAAAAAUCAAGAAUGAGGCCCAAUUAUACUAACAGCCCAUUACUAAACCCAAUUAACCCAUUAGCCUAAAACACAAAACAGAGAACCCUAGCAGCAAAAUCAGCAGCCGCGGCAACCACACCCACGCUUCAACAUCGCUCCACGUUCAGCACUUUGCGCACGUCCCCCACGACCCUCAUACCUGCGAAAAACUGAUCCAAACGGCAAUAGAUGUAAAAAAUAACAGAAUAGAUUUUGAUUUUAUGUUUUUUUGGAUGAUUUUUUUUGGGGGGGUUCUGAUAUAAAAGAGGAUUUCAAUCUGUAAAAGGGGGGGGGGAGCAAUAUUGUAUGAAAGAAAAACAUUUAAAGAAAAAUACGAAAAUAAGGAAUCAAAAAGGCAAAUUUUUGAAGGUAAUUGUUCUGUUCCUUUUUUUCUUUUUAUUUGUUUUUCCUUUUUCAUUUUCCAUCUUGUUUUUCUUAAAACAAAAGCGGAAGAGGGAAAUAGAGGAGGACUUACCGUCGCAUGCGCCGUCGAGGGAUCUUCAUUCCGUCGUCGGAAUGAGCGGAUUUGGAGCGGAAGAGAAGAGGAAGCUGCGGUAACACAAAAAUGGCAGAAGGGAAUUGAUUUUUGGGUUCUAAAAUGGGGGUAUAUAGGGUUCAAAAUGGACUAUUUUCGACAUUAGUCCUCAUGAUUUAUGGUGCUUUUCAAAUUAACUUAUUUAUUUAUUUUAAAUCUAACUGCACCUUUUAUUUUCGUUUCAAAUUGAUCCAAUAGAGUGCAGCGUUUUAGGGUGGGUUGGAAAAUUACUUUUUCGGUCCUUUAUCUAUUGCACCUGUUUUAAUUUACUCCAUUUCUUGUUUUUAUUUUCAGAAUUCGGCAUUCAACUUCUGUUUGAUAUUUUAAUUUAGUCCUUAAUUUGUU
rnacentral:lncRNA from 1 species